UUCUUUGGUACAUAAAAUUAAAAAAAAUUCUAUUUGUACAAUAAAAAAAAAAUAAACUUCAAAUAUUAUCUCUGUGGUUUCGUACUUUCUCACUUUAAUAUCCUAUAAUUUAAAGUGUAUCAAAUUAGUGUCUUGUAGUUUUAUUUUUAUCUUUUCAUCAGUUUUUCUAUUAAUAUUUCGUUACAUUAUAUACAAAAAACUUCAGAUACCUCACCUAGGUUUAUCGAAUAUUCACUUUAGUACACUUUGGUUUUAACUUUGUCAUUGAUUUAACAAAAAAAAUUAGCUGAAUCGAUAAUAAAAAGAUAAAAAUAAAACCACAAGGUAUUAAAUUGAUACACUUUAAACCAUAGAGUACUAAAGUGAGAAAGUGUGAAACCACAAGAGUGGUAUUUGAAGGUUUUUGCAAAAAAAUUGCAAAUUUUAUGCUAUUAUCCUAGUAUUCAUAAAAAUUUAAAUAUUUUUUUUAUAAAAAUAAAAAAACGUUGAUGUAAUAAAUAGAUAAUUAAUGAUCUUUGAAUAAAGUGGUAUAAAAUGUACAUCCCACUUUGAAGUGUAUUAGUAGCAUUGUUUAUUAACUGAAGGUAAAUUGCACGUUUGGUCCUUAAACUAUAAAUGGGGUGAUAUUUUAAUUUGUAAAUUUUAAUUUAUUAUAAUUUUUAAUACGAAUUUUCAGAAUUAUUUAUAAUCAAGUCUCAUAAUUUAAUUUAGCUGACUAAAUAUUAACAUGUUAUAAUUCUAUUUAGCUUUGAAAUUUAGUCAAUUAAAUUAAACUAUAAGACUUAAAUUAUAAUAAUUCUAAAAAUUUAAAUUAAAAAUUAUAAUAUAUUAAAGUUGGAGAGCCAAAGCCAAAGAUUCUCAAUUGACUCAUAGUUUGAGGACACACAUGCAAAUGUGGUGGGGGCCACCACCAUCCACUCACAAAAAUAAAAAAAAAAAAAAUCGGGAAAAAUUAUUGAAUGUACCCUACGUACUGUGCACCGUGCACCACAUACAUAAAAUCGUACACUGCCCAUAAUAAAAUUAGAAUUUCACAACAUUAAAAAGUAUAAAUAUAAAAAAUUAUAAAUUUGAAAGGCCUAUAAUUAAUAAAUUGCAUAAUUAAUGCUCCUCUCUUUAACUUUGAUCCUUAUGGAUUAUCACAGACGAUGCCUCCAUAAUAUAAUUUGGGUAAACUUUAAAUAUCACCUAUAUAAUAUUGUACUUUCUUAUUUUAAUAUUUUAUAAUUUAAAAUAUAUUAAUUUAGUAUUUUGUGAUUUUUUUUUUGUCAGCUCCUCCGUUAACAUUUCAUUAAAUUAUAUACAAAAAAUUCAGAUACUCCAUCUAGAUUUAUCGAAUAUUCACUUUAGUACCUUUUAGUUUUAACUUUGUCACUGAUUUAAUGAAAAAAUUAAUAGAGGAAAUAAUAAAAACAGAAAAAUAAAAUCACAGAGUACUAAAUUGAUAUACUUUAAAACAUAUGGUAUAAAAAUAAAAAAAAAUGCGAAAUAUAGGAGUGAUAUUGGAAGUUUUUCUGUAUAAUUUUAAAAUUUAUCAUUUUUCAUGUAUACUUAGUCGUUUGAGAUACGGUAAAUCACGUCUAUUGGAAUAUAUUUGGAUCUGAGAGAUAUGAAUAAUUGAACACGGUGUAAUAAUAUAUGAGUCGUACGCAGAUAUUGGUUACAGCGAAAAAUUGAGAGGAGAAACUGAACUAGUUGAAAAAGAAAUUUUUCAAUACACCACAGCUAUUUAAAUCUAAUCGUUAAUUAGCGACGAAGUAAAACAGGUUACCGGCUUAGACUAGUCAACAGGAUAAUAUUGAAAGAUAAUUAAUGCAUACACCACAAUUGUUAGUGUUCUAUAAAAUUUUAAAUUUCUCAUUUAAUUUUGUUAUUUGCUAAAUUAGAUAAUGUUCAACUUGUUAAGUAUCUAACUCAAAAAAUAUUGAAUUUAAACUUGAUUUUUGAAUUUGGUGUUGUAUUGUAAAAUUUUGAUUUUGAAAAUUCAAAUUCAAGAAUCUAAAUUGUACUUUUAAUCUUAAGACCAAAAUUUGAUUUUUUUUUUUAUUUAAGUUGAAAAUUUGAAUUUGAACUGAAAUUUUAUUUCAAAUUUGUGUUUUAUACACAAGAAAAAUUGAAUUUGAUUCAAAAUUAAGUUUUGUAUGUUGUUUCCAUAUUAAAUUCGCAGUUUGAAUGUAAUUUGAAUUUCAGCUAUUGUAUGUUGUUUCCAUAUUAGACGUAUUCUAAUGAAUGGUAUCUAUACCUCAAUAACAGAUCAUUUCUAAGAUCAUAUUAUAUCUAAACCACUGAUUUAAGAAAAUAAACGGUCAAAGUUUACAUAAUAUAUUCAAGUAUGGCUCCUAGUUCAAAAGAACAAUUCAAAACAUAUAACAAAAAUGUGGAAGUUAGAAACAAGGAAAAAAGGAAUAUUCAUAGCAAAGACACACUAACUUGGUGGCUUGUUUUCUUACUGAUUCUUAUUGAAAUCUCCAAGGAGACUCUGCUAUAUAUAAAUAGACUUCAUUGUGAUCUCUUGGAAUAUUUGUCAACUGAGGAAGCUCUCUACUAUGGUCCAGUUUGGCCUCCCUUGGUUGUUGCUCUAUGACCAGAAAUUAUGACCUUUAUAAAUUAAUAAAUUAGAAAAGCAAUAACAAUUAUUGGUAAAGCACAAAUAUUGCCCUAUCAUGAUCAUGACAAAGCAUGUGGCGUUGAUGGUUCUCAAAUGUUCUAUCAUGACCAAGUAUAUAUUUUAGGAGCUCCCCCACUCCUAUGGUCCAAAAUGGACAGUAAUUUCUACAACUUGUGGAAACUUUUUUCUUCUUUUUUUUUUUUUUUUUUCCAACACUAAAACACAAAGUGUUGCCCCCACCAUGGUCCAUACUAUGGAGGGUUGUAGGAUUCCAACUUCUUUUGAGUUAUAGAUGUAUGAGUCUUUAUGUUUUUAUGGAUUUCAGAAAUUGAAUUCACGACUUUAAAAAUAUCUGUAGUGCCAAUAUUUAUUUCGACACUGAAGUCACGAGAUCAUUCAAAUAUCAACUUUCAAUCGUAUGGAAAUUAGCUUUUAACUUCAAAUGGAUCACUACCAUGCAUCCUGACCGCACAUCUCUUUAUUUAAUGGCCAAAAAUCUAAUAACACCAACGAUUUUUAUUAAUAGUAUAGAAGUCUAUAUAUACAUACGUAUUAUACAGUGAUUAGGCCAAACUUUUUCUGAAUGCUGUAUCAAAGUAGGAGUCCAUUACUUGACCCACACCACUGAGGCUUUGUUUGAAAAUGCGGUGGCCAAAUUGGCGGCCUACUUUGAUGUUUUAAAGAGGUUAAAAAUUCUGAAAAUAUUUUAGAGCUUUUCUCCUCUAAUGUUAUGAGAAAGACAUCAGCAGGAUUGACGGAAACAUCAGAAAUUCUCCACUCAGUUGAUUAGUAUGGAGCCAUUAACUUGAGUCACUAAUCUACAAGCUUCAUGAAACAAUACCUUUUCUCCAUUCAUUUGUCCCAUUCCUUGUGGCAAACAUGCUCCACUUUCGUUUCAUCACUCCAUGUAUAGCUUCAUUCCCGACUCCGCAAGUUUAAGCACCUUGAUUAUCAAUCUACUAAUAUAAAACACACAGAUCAAGCGAAAAUUUGUGACGACAAAUGAAAACAAAUCGGAAUAGAGGCAACAGAUUUUUGCAGUUCAACCACUAGACUACAUCACCAGCAUCCAUGAGUGAAGAAGAGUAGAAUUUCAACUGAGAAAACACACAAGCUGGCCAAAUUGCUUCUCUCAAAAAAUUCUAAUUCCAGUACAUUCAGAAACCCCGAACCUUAAAAUAUGCAACAGUAAAACAGCAGUAGCAAAACAUAAUACAGGUAGAACCCCAACUACAAAUACAGAUAGGGAUCAGAAAUCGAAACACAAGCCGCAAAAUAUGCCGUAGCAAAAUGACAUAACAAAUCAAUUCCGAGAAUUCAAGACUAACAAUAGCACAUGGUUGUGAUAAGAAACAUAGGUUGACGAUGAUGUUCGGCGUCUCAAGCCAAACAUCGAUUGACAAAAUGAGGUGCAGUAUCUCAAACUACACCCAAAAUUCUUCUUUACACUUAGGCAUGCAAAGUCUCUGAGGCUUUUGCGAUAACUGGUAGCUAAAAGCAUAGCAAAACAUUGCAGCUAAAAGCAUAGCAAAACAUUGCGUCCAGCAUGCGCAAGUUUGCACAGAAAAAUAUAAUGCCCAACGGCAAUAAAAAAUAUACACCAAUUACAACACCAGCAUCCUCUCUCAAGGAUCUAAAGGACUCAACAAAUUGCAGUGACAUGAAAACCUGACAAAAGCAGAAAGUGAACUAUUCUUCUUUCGAAACCCCGGAAGAUUAAGACAAAAAAGAAAAACUCGGUACCCCAAAAUGAAGUAUAAGUGAGCAGGGGUGCUGUGGUGGAGAUGCAAGAAUUGUACAGGAAAUAUCAGCACUAGCAAACUUGUGAGAGAUCGCAGCUUUGCAGUGUUGCUAGUUGAUUUAUCUGCAACCAACUCUCGUACACGGAGGGCCAAAACUAAAAGAGAGAAUUUGGCUAGUGCUUAGAACCAGCGGAAAAGCCGUUGCCUCUGCGCGCUACUGCUAGUUCCAGGUGGAGUCACAGAUAUCCUGUUGGCGUUAGCUACUACCCACCGAUUGAAAUCUGGAGAAGACACUAGCUCAUCCACCGCCUUCUUAGUCUGCUCUUUAGUGAAUGUCUCCCAUUCUUCUUUCGACAUCUUCCUCCUCUCAGGAGUAUUGUGAAAGGUGGAAAAAUAGUUAUCCUCCGCUCGCCUUUGCGGUGGCGUCCUGGUUAAACCUGCAAUGGGAUGCAAGAUUAAGAACAGUAAAAUGAGUUGAGUAAAGAUUUAGGACUAUACUCGUUACAGAAGCAUACCUAAAAUAGGGGAACUGCAAGAAGUGAGUCCAGAGUAUUUGCGAGGCCAAGGAGGUGAUUCAUAUACUGGACGGUCGUAAUUGUUCAAGUAUUCUUCAUGAGAAUAUUUUGGGGGCGAUGCAUUAAGUCGAGUUCUUUGAACACUCUUGAUAAUCCGCCUGCCAGAUCAGUGUAAUUUUGUCAAGUUGUUACAAUUAGUCAUCACGAAGGAAAAAUCAGAAGACUAUAGGUGGUGCAGGAUGUGAGCAUGGACACACAAAAGGAGCAUUUCCUUUUUUAUUACUACAGUUCAAUUAAGCAAGAGGAUAUGAAACAUGCAGUUCAAGAAAGAGGACGACAGCAAGACAAGGGAAUUAAAAAUAAACAACACUAUUUUCUUUUCCUAUAGAAAGAAGGCGGUUGAUGGUAACAUAAAAAGUUUUCAUAUUAAACAACCUUGUCGAACACCAGAGCAUAAGGGGCCCCUAAGUUAAGAGUAUCACCCUCCUAAAAGCAAAACAUGAAAUACUCAAUGAAGACAAUUUACUCAUACAUAAAGCAUCCAAUAAGCAAACACAUAAUCCAGUUAAGACUUAUAUAGAAUAAAAUUAAGUAAUAAUUUGUGUAGUUCCAAGCAUCACAAAAUUUUUCUGAAUCUGUUUGAUGAUUUGCUCUACCUUUAUUGUUUUAUUUUCUAAUUUCCUCUUUAGAUUAUUCCAGACAUUUCAAACCAAGAAGUACAAAGGUGAAGUCCAAGAGGCUAAAACUUUCAAAGCUUGGUGUAUAUUUCCUACUUUACAACUAAGAUUUGUAACAAAAAUAUUACUGUUACCAAUAAUUAUUCUCAGCUAUACCCACAAAAAUGGAAUAAAUCCAAAAAAUAAAUUAAAGCCAAGAAGUAAUAGCAUCUGCAACUACAAAGCAUAGAACUCGCAUGGUCAAUUAAAGCAUGCUGCAUAAGCAUUUAGUGAGAUUUGGCGAAUAUAAUACAAUUGAGAAAAGCUGGAAAAUUAGUUUUAACGCCAAAAUGAAUAAACAGUCAUAAAGACACAAGGAUAAAGAAAAGACAUGGCAAUAUAUUUUUAUUAGUACUUCUUAAGCAAAGAUUUGUAAUAGUUGAUGGUGGACUAGCGGUAGCAAUACAUAUCAAUAACGCUUUGGCAAAAAAAUGAGUGCACAGUGCAACAUAACUACCUGACCAGGCGACGUAAGAAUCUCGAUUUUCCAUGAUUCCUCGUUAUGGCUGUUAUUAGGACAGAGAAACCCAAAGCUGCAAUUGCAAACACCACAUCCAGAGAGCUCUAGGUACAGUAAAGAACAGGAAAGAUUAGUAACAAUGAUUGCAAUUGUUGACAUAGAUAUGGUACAGUAGGUACUCUAGUAGGGAAAAGAAGCUAACAGGCAGAUGAACAGGCUAAAAUUUUCUAACGAUCAAUAACUAAAAGCUAGUCACUCAAAGGAGAUUUACCUGGAGUAUCAUUACAGCAGAAAGAAUCAUAAUUGACCAUUCAACAAAAUAAGCCACACUAGAGUCAACUGAUCCUUCCUCUGUUAGAACAAGCUUCCGAACACCCCAAAAACCAAACCAAGCUCCAGCCAAAACGAUGCAUACGAGAAUUAUUAUACCCAACUGCAGUAACAAUUCAUUAGAACAAUGAAAAAUAUUAGUUAGUCUUAUUAAUCAUCAUAGAAACAUAAAUCAAGUUUUCUUUGAGUGUUGUCAAAUCCUGCAUGUGACAGUUGCAUGCGAUUACGAGCGGCACAUUGCUUGGAAAGAGAUCAAGGCAAUUUUCAGCAGUAUAAGAAAUGAUUGCAUAAACACACUUGAUGCUCAUAUCAUUUGGAAAUUUUCAGCAGUAUAAUAAAUAAUUGCAUAAACACACUUGAUACUAAUAGUAUUUGUGACAGCUAAUCUUAGUGAAGAUGAUUGAGCGGCACAGCACUAUUAAGAACUCUAGAAAUUCAUGUGUGCAGCACGUAUGAUCUCUCCUUCAAUUUAUAGAUGCCGACUGGAAGAUAUGAACAUGAAUUGAACCCUCCUAAUUAAGCUACAAAAAAUAAUAGAUCCUCCACCUAUCUAAGAUUCAUUCCCAUCUUACUUAAAACUAAUCUAGAGACAGUAGCUGCCACAGAAAGCAGAUAAAGUUAAAUGACAAAAAAUGACUUUGAGAGAACAAUUUUUUUUGUGUCAUAAGGCUCUUUUGCAGUUUCAUUGUAACGAAGUAUCGCCCGAAUGCAGUGCAGCAGUAAACCCAAUAUCUGAGUAGGCCAAUAAACUGCAUUAGUUAUUGCAAUCAUCCUAUGACAAAGUUGCUUCACAUCAAAGGCAUAUUUAAUUAGUACGCUUAAGAUGAGCCACGAAGUGACCGUGGCUUAUAAACAAGAAAACAAUGAAUAAAGCACAAAGAAACUUACAUACAGGAUAGUGCAUAUCUUCACUAAUUCCUAUCUCCACAAGAAUUGAUCGCAAAAACCCAGACAAAUAACUGAGAAGAAAGGUUGUAACACCCACCUGUCAUCAAAGAAGAUAUAUUACUACAUUAGCCAAUGCCAUCGGGAUGCAUUAAUGUGGAAAUAGCUUUUCAAGGUCAUUACUUACAGCUGAUGAGUACAUAAAUAUUGCAAGAGAGCUCUUUCGACCUGUCGGUAGUAGCCUCAUUCCCUGCAAAGAAUCAGAUAAGUUCCUCAAAUUACAGCAAUUGAGAAGAGAGUGACAUUAAACAAAAUGGCACCCUAACCUCUAAUUCUUACUUGCAUCCGUUUCUCUUUAUUACAACAAAUACUGAAUUGUAUAUAUAAUUAGCAUCAUUCUAACAACCAACUAAGUUGGCAGCAUUUAGGCAUCCUAGACAGAAAAGGUCCACAAAUAAGCAGCGCAUCUCGCAACGAUGCAUGUAAUUGAAUAAUGAUACAAAAAUGGAUGCUUUUGUUAUAAAGCAUUUGUUUUUCCUCCUCUUUAAAUUGCACUAGUAAGAGUGAGAGAUGUCUAUCCUGCACCUAGUGGCAUGGGGCAUCAUCUAAGCCACGAGUAUCCCUAGACUCGAGAGUUGAUUAGCAUGAUACCCAUUACUAAACACACAUUUAGGCUACUUAAACUAACAAAUGCACAUCCACAUAGAAAAGCACAUGAUGGUGAUAAUAUAAACAUAAACACAAUUUCACGAAAAUUGAAUUAUAACUGUGAAACCCAAUCUGAAGCACAGAAAUAGAGCUAGAGGGUGAACCAGUACCUGAAAAAGGAUCAUCAGUAUCACCAGGAUGAUGCCAAUUGUCAUUGCACCGCCAUAAUAGAACACCACAGACUCACUUAAGGUGUGAGCUGUCGCCAUCAUGACCAUUCCCACUACCAGGAAAACAACCCUAAAAAGCACAAACUCUGCAAGUACAUGAAUCACCAGUAUCAACAACCACACUAAUACAUAAGAAACCUAAAACCCAUGAUUGCAAGUAUAUAACAAAAUACAUCUAAAGAACACCUUCCGCAGUGGAGACCUCAAUGGUCCUCGAGGGAUCCGGCGGCAUCCGAAUAUCCAAAAUCCUGUGCUCGUAAGGCGACAUGGAUUGAACCCACGAACUCUUCGAAAGCUUCUGCCACUGGGACGCCGGGCACGUCCCGAUCCCAAUCGACGCGUUCCUGCAUCGAAUACAACAAAUUCGAAUCAACAACCCAUCGGAGUCGCAUGCAAAGCUAGGGUUUUUGCGGGGAUUUACCGGUGGAAGCAGAGCUCGACGCUCUGGACCCGGAAAAGGCCGUCGCCUUGGGGGACGUCGACGGAGACCCUGAGCGCGUGGGCGAACCUGCACGGGUUGCGGAGCCGGGAGAGGCCGCGGAUGUGGACGCGGGCGCAGGCGAGGGGGCGGGAGCCGGGGGAGGGGUCGACGAGGCGGCCGAGGGGGAGCAGGAGCUUGGAAGGGUGGGAAUCGACUGCGGAAACGACGAAAACAAGGAGAAUGGUGAGACGAGAGGGUUAGGAGGAAAUUUCAAAGGGGAAAAUUAGGGCUUCUUCUAGGGUUUUUGGAUUCGUUACCUGUGAACUCGUCGGGGGAGGAGAGAGAUGAGGAGGUGGAGAAGAGGAGGAGGAGGAGAGAGAGGAGAAGGGGAAGGGGAGAGGAGCGCAUGGUCGCGUUUUUGGGGAGGAGGGGUGGGGGAGAAGAGAGAGGGAGGGAAAGGUUUAGAGAGAGGAGGACGCUUCGAUAGUAAGGAAUUUAUAUGUCGAAAAUAGAAAUUGGAAAAUCUAUGGACACCCCCUGCACUAUAGAAUAUUCUGCACCGGCCCUCUCAACAGCUUUUUUAUAUGUGAUUUAAUGAAGAAUUAACGGACGCGCUGAAAAUAUAUAUAUAUAUAUAUAUAUAGAGUGGAGCUAGAAUAUUUUUACAAGUAUCACCUGGGUGGUGCUUUAGUGUUUUUAGCCCUUGGAUGGAGAGAUAUGAGGUUGAGACGAUAGUGGUAGGUGGUGGUGAUACUUGUAAAAGUAUCCUAGCUCAACUCUAUAUAUAUAUAUAUAUAUAGUUGGACUGGGCUAUUAUUGGUAGCAAAAUCUCAUUGUUGCUAUCAGUUUUUUAGCCUUUGGAUCAACUCUUUUCAUUAUUUUUAACCAUUGGAUUAAAUACUAUAACCCAGUGGAGACCACUCAACCCUAGGGGAACCACUCAACUCUAACCGACUAAUAUCAUCCUGAUUCUAUAAUUUUUCUUCCAAGAGUUAAAAACUUGAUAGCAAAAAGAGCGUUUUACUAUUAGUAGUAUUCCAGCCUAAUUCUAUAUAUAUAUAUAUAUAUAUAUAUAUAUAUAUAGAGUUGAGCUGGAAUGCUAUNUAUAUAUAUAUAUAUAUAAAGUGCUAAAAUAAUACACUUUAAAUUAUAAAAUUUUAAAAUAAAAAAAGCAACAUCACAGAGGUGAAAUUUGAAAUUUAAUCAAAAUUUUUUUGACGAGUCACAUAAAUUUUCACUACGGCUCCUUAAACAUUUAAGUAUAUCACACUACCUGCGGCCAAUAGGAAUGCAAACUGAACGAAUCUGAGGGCAGGAACCCGCCCCGCUAGGGGUGGCAAUUCAGCUCGCUGUUCGUGAGCCAGCUCGUGUUCGGCUCGAAAUGAGCUCGAGAUCGGCUCGCUCGUUUAGUAAACGAGUCGAACACGAACUGGAUUUUUCAGCUCGUUUAAUAAACGAGCCGAACACGAGCUGGGAUCAGCUCGUUCGUGUUCGGCUAGAUAACAGCUCGAAUACAUAUAUUUUAUAUUUAUAUAAUUUAUUUAAUUUAUAUUUUUAUAUAUAAAUAAAUAAUUAUAUAUAAUAUAUAUUUUUAUUAUUUAAUUUUUAGCAAAAUAAAAAUAUAAAUGCUAGUAAUUAUAAAAAAACUCAUUUAUAUGUAAAUGUUUCAACAUUAGAUCAAAGUUUAAUGGAUAAAAUUUUAUAAAAUUUAUUUUUUAUAUAUAUUUAAUCUAUUUUUUUUUAAUUUAUUGUUCGUGGCCAGCUCGUGAGCCAGCUCGUGUUCGGCUCGUUUAUUAACGAGCCGAACACGAGCCGACCCCAGCUCGCUUGUGUUCGGCUCGUUUACACCCCUACGCCCCGCCUCACGCGCCCCGACUAACAAAAUCCUAUCACGCCUCCCGCCUCGAAUCUAUGACGGAUUAAAAAAUAUAUUUUAUAAUCCACCUCGCCUCGUAACUUGCUUCCUCCCGGCGCCCCGAAUCUGCCCUAUCAACUAAUAUUUUUUAUAAAAUUUUAAUAUUAUUAAAAUUUUAUAAAAUAUAAAUUAAUAAUUUUUAAUAAUAAUAUAUAUAUAUAUAAUUAACAACAUUAAUUAUAAAAAGUAAAAAUAUGAAUCACAAUUCAAAGUAAAAUUCAAAAGUUUUAAAUACAUGAGAAAUAAGAACACUAAAUUAUUUGUAUUUUGAAUUUUUUUUUAUAAAUACAUUAUUUUUUAGAAAUAUUUUUUAAAAUAUAAAUGAUUUUCAGAACGUAUUCGCGGCGGAUCAAAAUUUCUCCCGUUUUCUAUCCCGAAUUCGUCUCGGAUCAUAAAAAUUAAAUCGUUUUCCGCCCUGAAUCUAUUUAUUUUCUUUCGUUUACUGCCUCAUUCUAGACAAAUCGGGGCGGAAGCUCCACCAACCGGGAUCCGUUGCAUCCCUAGCGGCCGAACGUUUGAACAAGUUUCAUUUUGGUCCCCAAACUCUCUUUUUAUUAUUAUUUCAUAUUUCAUUUCGUUUUUCAAAUUUUGUUUUGUUAUUAUUUCUUUUUGGUAGGUAAACUCUGAAGUACGAUGCUAGAUUUUACAAAUUGUUUAUUUUAGUUGCUGUACAAAUUUAUCUUCAAAUGCAAAUUUGUUGCCUAGAUCUAGCACACAUGUAUAUUUAUGUACUGUGCCGAUACUAAAUUUUUUUCCCAUCUACUCUCCAUUGUGUUAUAAUAUUUGGCUAUGUGUUUGGAUUUUGGAAAUAUAUUCCAAAAUAUAAUUUUCUAGUGUAAAAAAUAUUUUUUUAUCUUUCUAACUCCUAGAGAAAAUAGUUUUUCCGAAUUUAUUUCGCAAAAUUUAUAAAAAUAGUAUUUAUAUUUUUUAAUUUUUUAUUUAAAAAAUAAAAAUUUUAAAAAAUAGUAUUUUUUUAUUUUUGAAACAAUUCUUUUCCUAAAAAAAAGUUUUUCGUACAUUUUUGGAGAACCAAACGCUUCUGAGAUUGAAUUAUUAAUUAAAAUUAUAAGGCGAAUAAAGGAUUGAUGGAUUUUUUACGGUACAUUUAAAUGAACUAGAUCCAAGCAAUAAAUUUUUUUUUUCAAAGCUAAGGCUUCAAAUGAAAUAUAACUAAAAAUUUAGAGGCUGAAUUAAGUUAUAAUUAGAAGUUUAGGAUUUCAAAUAUUAAAUUAAAAAAUUUGAGUAACAAAAUAAAACUUGCUUUCACCUCUGGGGGCAAAUAAUGCAAUAUAGCCCUAAAUUGUUGAUUGAAAUUGACUAGCUUAAAUUUUACAUUUAACACUUUUAUAUUUUUAGGAUUAUUUUAUUUUAGCUUAAAUUUUUGGAUGUUGAAGAAUGAUUGACUGAAAAUGCAGAUCACUUGCAUGCUCUUUUCAUAAGGACUUUUUUUUGAUCUUUCAAAAUAAGAAAGUGAGUGUUUUUGACAACGCGAUAUCAAAUUAGCCCUAACUAAUGCCUACCUAACCUGGCUAGAAUCCUCGAAACAAUGUCUCUACUUGAAGAAACAUAAUGCAAGAGUUCGGCACCGAAAGGACCUAACGCGUUUGCUAAGAGAAAUAGCCGAAAUGAAAAUAUGAAGAAUUAUAUAUUGGUUAUUUAUUAUUGGGCGAAAAUAUAUCCAACUUUCUGCUCCGUGACAAUAGGUCCAAAAAGACUAAUAAGUUGAGUUAGAUGAGUCUAAUAAGUGGAGCGGAGAUGUGGUCCACAAGUGGCCUAACGGCAAGAAGCCCAACAAUAGAUCCAACAUUCAGAUGGAUUGAGUGAGGUCAAAAUCUGCGAGCGCUGUUACUGAGUCCUUAAGUGCGAUGGAUGCGUCCUUCCUAUCAGCACGUGUUUUUGAGAUAGUUGUUUAACACUUAUGAUCCACACUAUACACAUUAAAUUUUAGGGCAUGUUUGGUACAGGAAUCUCUUAUGGAAUAUAUUUUUUUAACUUAUCCAAAGACUUUAUAGUGUUUGGUGGAUAGGAAUAUAAUUAAAUAUCUGGAAUGAAAUAGCACAUAAUUAUUUUAAUUUUUUUUUAAAAAAUAAGAUAAAUCAGCUUAUCAGUGAAAUAUGUUAUUCUACCAAAUUACAAAUAUUAAGAUCUUAAAAACAAUUAUCAAACUGAUUGCUUUGGCAUCAAAUUUAAAAUUUAUUAUUAUCCUAUUUUCGUCAAAUGACUAGUUAAUUACUUAUUUGUCAAUGAAAAAGUCGUUCACCAUGAUAUUACACACUGCUCAAAACUCUCCCAAAUUUGUCUUAUACAAUUUGAGUAAAGAAGAUUUUUACGAAGUUACAACUACUAUCCAAGACAAACAGAAAUUCUCGUUUAAAUAGCAAAUAACGAAGCCACAACAAUAAAACCAUGUUCACGACACACACAUAUAUAUAUAUAUAUAUAUAUAUAUAUAUAUAGUCCUCUAUGGUGCUAUGAUAAAAACAAGCCGAACGUAACGGUUUGGUGGCCUCAUAAAUUUUUACCGUCAGAUUCUACUCCUCGGAUUAUUUUAAGCAUGUUAGAUUAUACUAUUCUAAACAAGCAUCGCACUCCAAACCCUAGGGGCCCACACAUCACGUACCGCACAUCGCCUUUAAUCUAACAGCUAAAAAUCUACAAACACCAAUAACUUGGUAAUAUUAAAAACAUAGGCGCUUAAAUAUAUAUAUAGAGGAAGAGAAAGAGAGAGAAGAGAGAGAGGCUAGAGCUACUUAUCUGACUUUAAUAGGGAUAGGAGAGAUUGUCCUAUCAAUGUUGUGAUGAUCUAGAAGGUUACCGAAUCGGAUGAUCGAGCCGUUGAAAUUGAUCUAGAGUAUUUGAAAUAUCUAGAACAUAAAUUUCAUAAAUUUUAAAAAUUAUUUACAUGGUGAUCAAAGGUACGUAAAAUCGACAAUUUUAUGACAGGCACUAUAUGAGCGGCGUUUGCUUGUUAAACGUGUAAGGAGUAAUCCAAAUGCUUGAAUUUUUUGAUAGAAAUUCCUUUAUACUAUUUAAUAAUGUUUGAGUAACUCUAGAUAUGAAUUGAGAAAGGCCUAACCUCUAGUUGUAGAAAGUUAUUUCAUGUUAUGAGCCGUUCAUUUUUUAACUAAUCUCUUAAAAUAACUUGAUAAUGAUUUUAUAUAUACAAAAUUUGGUUCUAAAUAUUUCUAAAUUUGUAGAUCAAUUUCCAACGGUCCGGCCGAUUAUCAUUGAAGUUCGUCAAAUCAAACAACCUUGAUAGGACAAAUGGCUCCCAAUCCUAUUAAUAGAACUAUAGCCGGACUUAUAUAUAAGUGGCGUUUGGUAUGCCUUCUGGAAACAUGGACGGCUCUGUGUGCUUCCAAGUUAAUUUUCGAUGUUCGGACUUUCGAAUCGAUAUCGCUGCCGUUAGAGUUGAUCUAGAAGUAUUUUGAAGUAGCUAGAAAUAAAUUUUGUGAUUUUUGUCGAUAUCAUUUGGCCUAGUGAUCGAAGGGCUCAAAUUCAAUAAUUUUAACGGCCGUGGUGAGCCGUUUGGCAAGUUUAACGGUGUAGAAAAUGACAAAUCACACUUAAAAUUUUGCAUAUGACAAAAAUUCUUUAUACCAUAUAAAACAAGAUCAAUUAACUUUGAUCUAAAAUUUUAAUGUCCAUAUCAUGUCAUAUUUUGUAAGAUUUUUAUUUUCCAGCCGUUGAUUUUGAGCCAUUUCCGAUCCUAGCAAAUGAUAUCGAAAAAUCGCAAAAAAUUUAGUUUUUAGAUACUUCAAAAUACUCUAAUCAAGUCCUAACGAGCCGAUCGUCGAUAUCCGAAGUCCGAACAUCGAAAAACCUAACUUGGAAGCACGGAGUCGCUCCGUGCUUCCAACGACCGCAUAUAUAUAUAUAUAUAGAGUAGGGCUAGAAUACUUUUACAGAGUAUGCCCCAAGUGAUACUUGUGUGUUUUUACCCUUGGAAUGGAGAGAUGUGAGUGAAAAUGAUGGGGUAGGUGGUGGAGGUGUGGUAUGGAAUAAGUUUGGAUCCAAGGGCUAUUUGUAAAUCAAAAAGUAGAUCCAAUGGCUAAAAACGUGAUAGCAACAUGAGGAUGAUACUUGUAAAAGUAUCCUAAGAUAAAGACUUAUAUAUAUAUAUAUAUAUAUAUUCGAUGUGUCUACUAUACUCUCGAAAAGUACCGACCUUUCGUGCUUGUAAGUUGUUUGUCUAUGAUUAAAUAAACAUCCGAUUCCGCAAUCGGCUCCGUUAGGUAUAAUCUACUCUAUUGGACUAUCAGAAACCAAAUUUUAUAAUUUUUGAGCAAUCAUUUACUAAGCGAUCAAUAAGGUCGCAAAAAUGACUAUUUUAUAUGCGAAUGCGGUACAUUUUUAGUUCAACGGUGUAAGAAAUAUCCAAAUACAUAAAUUUAAUAGAAAUUCUAACUAAACUCAAUAGCAAGAUCAAUACUUCUGAUUUGAAAUUUGAGUCAUUUCAUUUUUUUUAUGAGAUUUUUAUUUCAGGCCGUUCAUUUUGAGGCUACGGUGUCAGCUAGGCAAACAAAGUCAAAAUUAAUGAAUUUGAUCUAGAUAUUCAAUACGUAGAUUCAUCGUCUAACGAAACCGAUCACUAUCGAAUUGGACCGUCCCAUCAUCCGAAACUUAAUUGAUUAAGUAACGGAGGCCCCAUACUGUCGAAAGCAUAGAGUCUAAACUCUCUCUCUCUAUAUAUAUAUAUAUUAAUAUAUAUAUAAUAUAUAUUAUAUAUAUAUAUAUAUAUAUAGAGUGAGGCUACUCAUGCUAUCGGAAGCCAGAGCCUUUCGUGCUUCCAGCUCGUUUUCGAUGUUGCGACUUUCGAAUCGUCGAUCGGCUCCGUAAAACUUGAUCUAGAGUAUUUGGAGUAUCUUAGAAAAUAAAUUUUAUUAUUUCGAUAUCAUUUGCCUAUAAUCGAAUGGGCUCAAAAUCAACAAUUUCAAAUGGCCGUAGUGAGCCGUUUGCAAGUUUAACGGUGUAGAAAUAUCCAAAUCAACGUAAAUUUUGAUAGAAAAUUCUUAUACUAUAUAAAACAAGAUCAAUAUCUUUGAAUUUAAAAUUUUAAUGUCAUUAUUACAUUUUAUAAGAUUUUUAUUUUCAGCUCGUUGAUUUUGAGCCCCUGUUCACAUAGGCAAAUGAUAUCGUAAAAUUAAUAAAAUUUAUUUUCUAGUACUUCAAAUACUCAGAUCAAGUUUAACGGCCCGUCGACGAAUUCGAAAGUCCAAACAUCGAAAAUGAGCUGGAAGCACGGAAGGCUCCGUGCUUCGAUAGCAUAGUAGCCCACUCUAUAUAUAUAAUAUAUAUAUAUAUAUAUAUAUUAUAUAUAUAUAUAUAGAGUUGAGCUAGAAUACUCUCGAUAGUAAACGAGCAUUUUACUAUCGAGUUGUUUCGAUGAUAGAGCUUCCAAAUUGACGAUCGGCUCCGUUAAAUAUAAUUCUAAAUCAUUUAAACUACCUAGAAUCAAUUCACGCACUUCGAUUUCUUCUUUUAUCCAUCUAGUGAACAGAAAAUGAAUGGUUGAAAUGAAAAUUCUUUAAAAAAAUGAUGAUAGGAGUCUUGUAAUCAGAUCAAGAGUAUAGAUCUUGUUUAAAAUGUUUAAAGAAUUUUCUAACAAAAAUCAAUGUUUGGAUAUCUUACACCGUUAAACGAGAAAAACGUCUCUAAUCCACCAUUAAAAUUACAAAUUUUGAAACCCUUUGAUCAUUAGGCAAAUGAUGUCGAAAAGAUUUGAAAUUUGAUUUAAAACACUUUAAGUGGUAUAGAUCAUGUUCAACGGAGCCGAUCGUCAAUUUGGAAGCUCAUAUUCAUCGAAAACAACUCGAUAGUAAAAUGCCCUGUUUACUAUCGAGAGUAUUCUAUCUCAACUCUAUAUAUUAUAUAUAAUAUUAUAGUAGGGUUAGAAUACUUGUAAAAGUAUCAAGGGGGUGAUACUUGUUGUUUUUAGCCUUGGAUGGAGAGAUGUGAGGUUGAGAUGAUGGUGGUGGUGUGUGUAGGUUGGUGAUAGUGAAUAAGUGUUUAAUCAAGGCUAUUAAUAAUCAAAAAGUAGACUCCAAUCCAUUAAAAUCUAAUACACCAUGAUGGUGAACUUGUAAAAGUAUCAUAGCUCAACUCUAUAUAUAUAUAUAUAUAUAUAUAAUAUAUAUUAACAAUGAAGCAAAAGUUUGAUUUAAAAUGUAACAUGAACUAAACUUUAAAAUCUAUUUCGCUGUUUAUACGUCGGAUCCUUUAAAAAGGGAAAAAAAAAAAAAAAAAAAAGUGAAACUUUUGAUAUUCAAAGGUAGAGAUGAUGAGCAAAUUGAUCUAACUCUCCCUUCUGCAAUGCUCUGCAAAUUGCCUCCAAAGCCCACACUUCGACAAUUUGUAAGUAGUCAUAACAUCUCCGCUUACGUCGCUUUGAGCUCGAAACUGUUAUCCUUUCUUUCUCGCUCUCCAUCCUUUCUGCAAUAAGAAAAGAUAAACCGUAAAAAUACAAAUUUGAUUUGCGAGAGUAUGAACAACGCUCACACCUAUUACAGCGUUGAAUUUUUUAUUUUUAGUUUCGAUACUGUCGUACUUUUUUGACUUUUGAUUCUGUCGAGUUAAACAGAUAGUAUAAAAAACUGAGAAAAGGAAUUAAUGGAUAAAUUGUGAUAAUUAAAUGCUAUGAUGCAAGUUUAGAUAAUUGUAUAAUUAAACAUCAGGCAAUAUAAUAUAUAUAUAGAGUGAGGCUACUAUGCUAUUGGAAGCAUGAGCUUCCGUGUUCACAGCUCGUUUUCAAAUGUUGCGACUUUCAAAUCGUCGAUCGGCUCGUUAAACUUGAUCUAGAUAUUUGAAUAUCUAGAAUAAAUUUAUAUUUUACGAUAUCAUUGCCUAUGAACGAAGGGCUCAAAAUCAACGGUUGAAAAUAAAAAUCUUACAAAAUGUAAAAUGACAUUAAAAUUUUAAAUCAAAGAUAUUGAUCUUGUUUAUAUAGUAUAAAGAUUUUCUAUCAAUUUCAUAUGAUUUGGAUAUUUACACCGUAAACUUGCAAACGGCUCACUAUGGCCAUUGAAAUUUGUUAUUUUGAGCAUAUUUCGAUCACUAGGCAAAUAUGAUCUCGAAAAAUAAUAAAAUUUAUUUUCUAGGUACUUCCAAAUACUCUAGAUCAAGUUUAACAGAGCCGAUCGACGAUUCGAAAGUCGCAACAUCGAAAACAAGCUGGAAGCACGAAAGGCUCCGUGCUUCCGAUAGCAUAGUAGCCUUACUUCUAUAUAUAUAUAUAUAUAUAAUAUAUAUUAUAUAUAUAUAUAAUAUAUUAUAUGUAGUUAGUAAGUUCAAUGCUUAUUAACCUAUAUGAAUUCCUAAUGUUUUUGCCACGUGGCAAGUUUUUUUUCAACCCCACUUUCUAUUCAAUGACGUUGGCUUUUUCCCUCUCCCCAACCCUCUCUAUUCAAUGAUCUCUAAUCAAUGUACUCUUUAAUUUAUACGUUACUUAUUUUUCUCUUCAAUAUUGGUCAUUUAUUCUCCCUCAAAUCUCUUUUCAACGUCAAACCCUUCACCUCUUCCUGUCCUUUAAAACCACAAGAAUUAAUUAAUCCAAAAUGCAACAUUUAAUUAUAUACACCAUAUUUCACCAAUGAGUAAGCUUUGUAAUUCCAAUCCACUCCCCACCUCCAUUAACCCGGGCCCCCGAACCCUCUCUCUUUUGUAUUGCCUCACCUCCAUUAACCCGGGCCCCCGAACCCCCUCUCUUUUGUAUUGCCUGUUAUUUUUCAUGCAAAAAAGAACAUUAUCAUCUAAUCUCCCACCCCACAUUCAUCUUGCUUUCUCUCUCGUGUUAGUGAAGUUGAUGAGGAUGAUGAUGAAGAAAAAGAACAUGCAAAGAACGUUGUCUCUUUCAAGAAGUAUCGUCCUGCAAAUCCGAGCGGCGAUCCAUAUAAGUGCCCGCUGGGUUGAUUCAGCUGCGUUAGAGCUAGCUCUUUUUUUUUUUUUUUUUUCCUUUCACAACGGAAUGUUCAAGGGUCACAUAAUAUAAUAAAAUUGUAUGUCUUUUACUGUAUUUCAAUGAUUUUAAAAAAAAUUAUAUAAACUUCUAACUAUAAUUUUAUGCUUUUAACAAUUAAAUUUAGUCAUGCAAAUUGACCGUACUUAACAUGGUAUAGUUUUCUAUAUAUCAAUAAGCUGUAAAUAUAAAUUUUAUUAAAAUUUUAAAAAUUUGCUUUUAUUAUCUAUCCACUGUAUUGCGCUGAUCUCUACACUAGUUUGUAAUAAACUUCAAUAUUGUUGAUAUAAGAAUGUAGAAUAAGCAACAAAUAUAAUAAAGAGAUUACAUUAGUCCGCGUUGUUGGAUUGUUGGAAGAUCACAUCUCAACGUGGUUUCAGGGAAUGAGUACCAAACCAACCGGCAAAAACCUAGCAAGCUAUUUUAAUUAAGUAAUUUUUUCUUUAAAUGUGUUUUGAUUAAGUGGUUUAUUGUGUUCUUGUCUAAAACAACAUAUGUAUAUUGAGUAGAAUUUGUGCCAUUUUACGUGCAGACCAAUUCGUAGCGUGGACUAGAACAAAAUACUAUUAUAAGCAAUUUACAUUAUUUAGAAAAGUCUAUAUAUAAAAAAUUAUAAAAUUUAAAAAUUUCAUGCAAAAGCAUCAAUCUAUCGAAUAACCACAAUAAUUAACAAUAGAAAAAAGGCGACCGCUUGGUUGUGAUAUAUCGACAUUUUGAAUACUAUCAAAUGUAAGCAGUCUAUCUUAUCUCAUCACUUACUUCAAUCUCAGUCACGGACUGCAACUUUAAUUUUUGGUUAAGUUACUCUUUAAUUUGAAUUUAAUUCCUUUAAUGGUCACUUUUACAAAGGUUUUUAAAUUCGAAAUUAUUUACAGUUCGAAAAUAAUGUCUGGUCACAUAUUACUAGCUAAAUCAGUAGUUCAACCACUGAAUUAAUUGACGUCAGUAUAUUCAGACUAUAUAAAAAAUAUUUACGAAGUAUUGUAUAUAUUAUUUUUUAAUAUUAUUAUGUUAUUAUAUAUAAUUAAAGAUCUAUCCAAAGUAUUUAUUGAUUAUUAAAAAACUGACACAUAUUUUAAUUAAUCAUUAAAAUAUUAAAUAAAAAUAAUUAAACUAGGAUAGUUUUUUUUUUUAAAUGGAACCAGCUAACAGUCGCUAGUUGAACCACUGGUCUGAACGGAUCCAAGCGAGUUUUGAGCAAGUAUGGUUUCAUGGGUUGAAUCGAAUCACGUUGGGCGUUACACAACCGGUCUACGAACGCUCGGUGUUCCGUGUUCCCGUCCUUAAACGAGUCUGGUAUCGACAUGUCAGCAGCAGGAGACAGGUAAAGACCAACACGCCACAUAUCCGCACUCCGGGGGAAUUUUCCCGACAUUGUCAAAUACCGCCUUGACCACUAAAAAACAAGCAAAAUUUUUGUUCCAAUUUUUCUACAUUUCCCUACACAAAAACUGAUGAUUUUAUAUAUAUAUAUAUAUAGUUUGGUUGGAAUACUAUUGAUAGCACGAAGUAUUUGAUGCUAUCAAAUUUUCUACCGUUAAAUUUAUCUCUUUUAUCAUUUUUAUCCGUUCGAUUAUACUAUUCAACCAACUAUCCACUCAACCCUAGAAGACCUACAUCAUCCUAAUCGCACAUCUUUGAAUCUAAGGAUAAAAAACUUUAUAGCAUCAAGUUAUUGGUGCUAUUAAUAAUAUUUCAGCCUAGUUCUAUAUAUAUAUAUAUAUAUAUAUAUAUAUAUAUAGAGAGAGAGAGAGAGAGAGAGAGAGAGAGAGAGAGAGAGUACGUCUUUUGAAAGUACGGAGGUCUCCGUAUUUAUAAUUUAUUUUAAAUGAUAGGACAUCCGAUUCGACUAUCGGCUCUAUUAGGUAUAAUCUACCAUAUUAGAACUAUUUAGAAAUCAAAAUUCAUAAUUUUUUACAUUAUUUAAUUACCAAGUGAUCAAAAUAUCUCAAAAUUAACUAUUUUAAUGAUUGAUGUGGCACGUUUUUAAAUUCAACGGUGUAAAGCAAUCCAAAUUAUAUGAAACUUUAAUAGAAAACUUUACUUAACAUCAAUAGCAAGAUCAAUACUUGUGAUUUGAAAUUUGAGUCUCUUAUCACUGGUUUUUAUAAAAUUUUUAUUUUAAGCCGUUCAUUUUGAGGCUAUUCAUUCACUAGAUAAAUGAAAUCAAAAAAUUAUGAAAUUUUGUUUUUAGAUAGUUCUAAUAGUAUAGAUCAUGUCUAAUGGAAUUAAUCGCCGAAUCGGAUGUCCCAUCAUUGAAAAUAACUUAAAAGCAUGAAAAUCUCUGUACUUUCGAAAGCAUAGGAGCCUAGCUCUCUCUCUCUCUCUCUCUCUCUCUCUCUAUAGUAUGUAAAUAGUUCAAAUUGUUAUGAACAAUCAAUGUGCGUUUCUAAUGUGUUGGAUUUUGGAAUCAGUUUUUUUAUGUCAUAUUUGUUAAUAUGUUAACAGUUUAUAAAAAUUAUGUUAUAAAAACGUGUAGCAGUACAGCUAAAAUAGACAAUAAAGUAUUUUUUACUAAAAUUAAAAUGAUCACCCAAAUAAUGAUAUUUACCGUUUCAGAAGAGCUCUCAUUGCUCGCAUUUCCUCCUCCUCCUUCGUCGCUCUCCUGAAGCUUAGCCUUCUUCUUCCUCUCUUGCCUCGCUAUCAACUUGCUUAGCUUCACGUGUCUUCUCGAUCCGAACACUUUAAGCACAUCUAUAAACCAACAAGAAGUAUGAGUGUCUAUUUGUUACUAAAUCCUCAACGGCACGUUUAGUAAUUGAAUAAUAUUUGAAGCGUUUCAUGUUUUUAUUCAUAGAAUAAGUUAAUAUUCUAGAAUAGAGCGGCAUGAAAGAAAAUUUAGAUUUGGUUUUUACAUUUUAUUUUUUUAAGGAUAAUCAAAAUCAUGUUUUGUUAUUUUUUUAAAAAUUUAUGGAGAAUAAUGGACAAAGGCGCAGCGUGCAAAACCAUAUAAAAGGGUAGGUAAGAAUGGAAUAACGUAUGGCACAAAAAUAACGCGAAAGAUAAAUAGAAAAAUAGAUUUUAGAGAUGGCGAAAUAAGUCUUAACGGAUUGUUUCAGAAUAAUCUGUAAUAAACUAUUUUGACUAGAAUAAAUUAUUCUCAGCAAAAUAUUUUAUCCUUUAGUUAUUUUAUUACCAAAUGCAACCUAAGUAACUAAAGAGCGAUAUUUAAUCUUUUAUACGGUUAAUUUGUGAAAUAAAAAUUAUUCUCUGAAAACUUAAGCUAUUAAACAGCUGCUGGUACUUCGAGCAGUUACAUUCAAUGCAAAGUAAGUAAAUGUAUCUCUACUCUUGGUAACGUUGGAUGUGAACUUUUAAUCUUUAGAUACUAAAAAGAAAUUUUCUAAGCAAAUGCCAAAAGCAUGGAAACCACAAGUACUCCACCAAUUCAAUCGUCUACAUACUCUAUUACAUAGAAUUUGUAAAUAUAUAAAAAAACAACAACGAUACCAAACGAGGCGAUAGAAUAUAUACGGCAACGCUACCUUCGAAGGUGACGAGGCGGUAGACGCGGCCGAUGUGGAGGGGAUCGUCGGGGCGGAGCAGCUUCACAUGCGCCACCGGUGCAGCAGCACGGCUACCACCGUCGCCGUCGGGGGAAGCAGAGGACGACGAGUUACCAGAAGCAGAGCUACGCGGAGCAGCGACGACGACAACCGCGACGUAGUGACCAGGGUUUGCGGCCAUGACGUUGCUCGCCGCGACCGUCCAGUAGACUCUCUCGACCCUACCUCCUGGGUGUUCGAUCACCGCUGCCGCCGCCACCGCCUCCGCCGCUUGGCAAUUCCCCAUCUCUCUCUCUGUAUCUAUCUCUCAAAAUGUCUAAAUUUCUUUCUCUAUAGCUUUUGGAAACUUGUGUAUAUAUAGCAAUGGAAUUUGUGUGUUAAAUAAGGUACAAGCGCAUUUUCUUGUACCGAACAAAGGAUCUACUAUUUGACCACCACUUUAUUUACGUGUGCGAGGGUUUAAUUGGGCGCUAUUAAAGUUGUAUCGUAGUUUUUCUAUUUAAAGUUGAUAAAAAGUUGUGUUUGGUGUUGUUGUAUAGGUGGCUGGUUCAGCGCGUGGGAAAAGAAAAAUUAAGAAAUACAAGAAGUUAUUGCGUGGUCUCCGUGCACGUGUACAUUAAUUUAUUCCAUUUAAACCCUUGAAUAUAUAUAAAUUAUAAGAUGGCCAUUGAAUGCACGACCUCACAGAAAAAUUAGUUCAGAAUAUGAAAUAUAUAUUCACAUUUUUAGAAAACACGCUUAAUAUAUACACGAUGAAUGUGAAAUACACGUAAAAUUUUAAGAUCAGAUAAGAUAUGAGGAUUUAACUUGUAAUAAUAAUACGCCUGCAGGUAUAAUAUCUAAUAUAUUCUUCAAAAUUUAAAAACUAUCUUAUUUAUUUCUGGACGACCAAAAUACACUUAUUAAUUUUUAAAUUUGUUUUCAAAUACAUUUUUUUUAAGGAUUUGCUAAUGAAAUUAAAUUUUAUUAAAAAGAAUACUUUGAGUAUUGAGGGAUAAAUCUAAAAGUUUUUAUUAUAAGUGAGUGGGCGUAACUGCGUAAGCGUGGGUGUAAAUUUUUUUUUUAAUUAUUUGUUAUAUUAAGAAAUUUUGAACUUGUGGGCGCGAAAUUUAACGAGUUUCGUCUCCUUUUCCAGUGGUAGGUCAUUUUUGAAGACGUUAUUGGUUGCUUUCACUGGCCACCAUGUUUGGUAUUUAAUUUUUUUGGUAACUUCUCACCAUAUACGCUUCAAACAUGGAAUAUAAAAUAAUUAAAUUCCAUUCCAUGCCUCAAAAUGAGGCAUUUUUAUGAUUUUAUUUCCUGUCACGAGGAGAUCUACUAUUAUGAUUUAUAUAUAUUUGGAUGUAUAUAGUCACUAUUUGUUGAAAACUAGUUGAGAUUAUUCUUCAUGCGCUACUAACACAUAAGCACUUUUUUAAAAAAUUAAUUAUGCGCAGUGUAAAAUCGUGAAAAAUAAUUUUUAUAAAAAUUUUUUUUUAUGUUUUUGUAGUGUUUGAUUUGUACAAAAGAAAAGUAGUUUUUCAUCUAUAUUUAUUUGGUUGAACGAAAAAAAUUUAUGUUUGUUCGGUUUGCUGAAAAAAAUUAAAUGAAAAUAAUUUUUAGGCAGUUUGAAUUUUCGUUUUCUACUGAAAAAUAGCAAAAAAUAAAAUUUCAGCUUUUUCUCGAUUCGUAAAAAUAUUCUUACGUCGAACCAAACAAACAAAAAAGUAUUUUUUAUACCGAAAGUAAUUUUUAUGCCAAACCAAACGCCUCUUAAGUACAAAAAGUAAAAACCAAGAUUUAUAUAGAUCGACAAUUACUAAGUCUACAGAGAAAGUGAAAAAGAUAUGCUUCACUAAUAAAAUAAAAUUGAGUUUUAUGGUGAAAAUUUUUUUUCUUUUUAUUUUAUGAAAAGUCUCAGAUAAUAUUAUCUAAAUAAAACUUUUUUAUAUUUUAAUUAAAGAAUUAAAAAUAAUAAUAUAACUUGUUCUAUUUACUAAACAAAUAACCCGAGAGGAGCCACCAAACUUAAUUAAAUUAUAUCCCUGGACCCACUCCACGGGCCCACCAGGAGAAAGCCACCUCUCCGGGGCUCCAAUUCCAAAGCCUAUUGAUAAUAUAUCGCAUAAACCCGGUCUACACGGAUGGUACAUAAUUAGUAGUAUAUUACUCCUACUAUUUGACUUUAAAUUAUUCAAACUUAUCUACAUGUGCUCCACGGCCACGUUUAGCUGAGCAAUUAGAGCCCGACUUAUAUUUGCUGGUGAAUUAUAGACUAAUUAAUAAUAAUUAUCAUACAAUUAAUUUUUUAUAUUAAUCACUAAAGUUGGACUUCUUUUAUGUCUCUUCAUUUUCUCAUCACAUUAUUUUCUCUCCUUGAAACUUUUGGUCACUAAUAGGAUCAUGUAAACUAAAUUUAGACAGUGUCUAAGUUUCUUCAUUGUCACAGAAUUUGUUAUGACAUCAGUUAUAUUAUUUUUUGUAAAAAUUUACAUAAGCUGAAUUUUAUGAUCACCUUCACUAGCGAGCUCUCACAAUUUACGAUAUUUAAAAAACUAUGUGCUUCAUUCUCAUGUAGUAAACUAAAUUUCUUGCGAGAUAAAUAACAUCUCUGACUAUCACAAUUAGUGGUCAUCUUUUUCUAUACGAUCCUAAGUUAAUCAACCAAACCUCUAAAUUAGACUGCAUCCAUAACUGCUUCGAUUGUCGCCAUAUACUACAUCUCGAUAUUUAACAAAAUUACACUAUGCCGUAACGUAGACUUCCAAUUGAUAGAUCCACUGCCGAGCAAAAACACGUCAGCUGUAAUAGACCAAUGCAUGUCGGAAUCACCAAUAUAUACAGUCGGAAUUUAUAAAACCUUUUACUUCACCAUUAUCAAAAUCUGCCAAAUAGAAAUUUUGCAUAUUUGUUGUGCUCUUAAGAUACCGCGAAAUCAACUUCCAAGGACUUGUAAGCUGUAAUGGACCAAUGCCCGUCAGAAUUACCAAUAUAUAUAGUCAGAAUCUACAAUCCCUUACUUCACCAUUAUCGAAAUCUGCCAAAUAGAAAAUUUUCAUAUUCGUCCGCAAAGUUAAUGUCAAGGCGUCUUAGUGCUAUUUUUCUUGAUUUGAUAUUCGUCGGCUAUUGGAAUUAAAGGACAGCGAAAACUUACAAACUGACUAGCCAAUAUAUCUAUGAACCGAAAUCGGAUCGGAUUGCUUGUCUUACUAGCCUUCUUGGGUCGUCCUUGUCUCGAUACUUUUGCAUCUUCUAUGUACCUCAAUUUUUUCUAUACCCGUUGCGAAUCGGAUGCGAAGAGGGCUACUAGAGUGCUCUUCUAUAUUCACACUCCAAAACUCUGGAAACAUAAGUGGACAUCUUAGAGAGAAAGAAGAAAGAGAAGAAGGAAGAAAUCUCUAGUUUUUGAAUAUUUUCGUAGAAAUACACUACCUGCGAAAUGAACAAAAAAUCAGAUUUAAAGCAAAUUAUAGCAUACAACAAGCAACCGACCUUAUUAUCAUUUGAUAUCUUUGACAUAGAAUUUAUCUCUCAUCUCCGUACACUGUGCAACGUACCAAUGCGAUAACGUCCAUAACGUAUUCGGCUAAGUCCAAGAUGUACAUUAUUCAUUCUACUACUGAUAUAUGAAAUUCAUCAAGCAUAUUGUCCCUGCGCACCUGCAUGUUAGGAGUCUGUUUCCUUGUUCGAUCGUAUCCAACGCUCGUCCAUCAUACGACGAUUAGGUCCAAUUAUACAUAACACUCGAACAAUCCCCUCACCUCUAGAUGCCUCACCGUCUCGAACAAUCCCCUAACCUCUGGAUGCCUCACCUCACCGUCCUAAAUGUAUCUACUACUUGUCAAGAGUGUUAGGCUUAGUUUGGUAUCGAGGCCUAUCCAACGCUAAUCGUAACCGACUCAUCGCGAUAUACGAAAUGCAAUAUUACAUACGAAAAUAAACAGAAUAUUUUUUCAACGUAUUUUUUCACUGUAACGCAAUCUCUCCGCAAUUCCAAACGAAGCCUUAGUCAUUAAUCUCCACUCCAUAUUUUAACAAUUGGUCACAAAUUGCAAUGAUCUUAGAUAUCAAAUAACCAACUCAAACCUUAAUUGGAUCGGGAUCCCAUUGUAUAGCCCAAGACACAUCACCGAUAUCCCAACUAAGGGACAUAUAUAAUUUAAGGGCUUCCAACUAAGGUAAUCAAUUAGGGGUCAUAGGUGAAAAGUGAUGGUAUAUAUUCAACUAGAAUUCUCAGAGGUUUUCUAAGUUCAAAUCCGAUACGUACGAUCGCUCCGAAUUCUUGAAUAGCCCAGAUAUAAAGUCUUUUUAUUGUUAAAUAUUAUUAUUUUACUUAUUAAAUAAAAAAAAAUAUUUUAUUUGAGAUGUUUACUAGAUUAGAAAUAUCUUUUGAUUUAUACUAUUUUUAUUUAGAUUUCUUAAAGUGAUUGCAGGCUUAUACAUAAGAGUUUUCCCUUUAUAAAAUGGUCAACUUUUUUUUAGGAGCAUGUAACAUAUUAUCCGCUUCAUUCAUAAAGAAAAUGAACUAGCAUAGAAUAGUGAGACAAUCAAAUCUCGAAGGAGAGUGCCGAUCUAUAACUUUUUUUUCAAAAAAAAAACAUCAAAAUGGCCUUCAUUUGAAAAAUUUUCUAUAAAAAAUUGUUGCUUUUUAGUGGUCUCUCCGUUUGGUUAUAAGAAAAAUAAGUUUUUAUAAAAAAAAUUAUUUUUCAUAUUUUAUAAAAAACUAAUAUUUUUAUUUUUAAAAAAAAUUUAAAAAAAAUGAGUUUUUUAUGAAAUAUAAAAAAAUGUUUAAAAGUGGAAUUGAGCUUUUAUGCUUUUAAAAGUACAAGUUAUUGAUGCUUAUAAAUUUUUGGUCAUUGGAUUAAGGGAUGUGCAAUUAGAAUGAUGUGGGACUUUUAGGCAGCGUUUGGUUAGGGAAUAGGAAUAGGAAUAGGCCCUUAUGCCCCUUUAUACCCAAACGCUAAUUUUUUACACGAGAAUAGUAGUUCUCGGUUAUCCCCACUAACACCUUCAUUUUCUAUAUAAAACUAUCUAAAAUUGUUCUUAUUCCCGGGAACAACCCAAUUUUCAUCCAAACAUUAUUUUUCUUAUUCCCAUACUUGUACUUAUCCCUGUAAUAACUAGUUCUUGUUUAUACCCGAACCAAACGAUACCUUAGGAUAUUCAGGUUGGUUGAAUAGUAUGAUCUAGCGGGUGGAAAUGAUCAAAAGAGUAAAUCUAACGGUAAAAAUUUACAAGCAUCAAAUAUUUGGUGAUUUUACCAGCACUAUAGCCAGACUCUUUAAAAGUGAACGAGAUGGAUAAAAUUUUUUUUUAGGAAAAAUUCAAUCUUUGGACGAACCAAGCAACCCCUAAUUGCAAGUUCGCACCCAACCGAACCAUGCCCGCGCAUAGUGGUGGUCUUUUAGUCCACAACUCCAUGGGCCGCAAUUGCAUCCGAUCCAUUUCCAUCUCUAAACCCUGAAACAGCAGGCAAGCUCGUCGGGCCGCCUUCCCCAGCUCUCCUCGCCAGCCGCUCCCCCCUUUGCGUGCUAUCGGCGGCCGGCGGCAUGAACGGGAUGGCGCGGGGGCUGUCGUGGCUGGUCCGGCAGCGGGCGGAAGCCGUGCAGCAGCAGCAGCAGCAGUGGCAGCAGGCGCGGGGGAUUCGGGUGCAGGUGCGGAACGACAACCUGGAGCAGGCGCUGACGGUGAUGGAGCGGAAGAUGCGGGCCAGCGGCAUGGAGCGCCUCAUCCGCCGCCAGGUCGACCACCACCUCAAGAACUCCGAGAAGCGCGUCCUCGCCCGCAAGAACCUCAUGCUCCGCGUCCGAUCCCAGGACCUCGCCCGCAAGCUCCGCACCAUCCUCCUCAAGAAGAUCAGGUCCCCACGACUUUCUUUUUAAGAAGAAACAUCGAAAUUUUUGAUUCUACGAUCUUUGAGUGCUCUUUCUAGUUUAGAAUUUGUACGCACUGCUUAGUUUAGCAGGCUUGAUUUGAGUAUCUUAUAUGAUUCACGGCAAUUGUAUGACUGAAUUUAAAGUAAUUGAAAGAUUUGAGAAGUCGUAGCUGCUUCUGUCUCUUUCGAUGGUGCGAUGAGUCGAGAUGUGCUUUAUAAUUCGAUUUGCGGCGGCGCAGAAUUCGCUAUUGAUGAGCCAUUUUGUUACCAUAGAGGCCUGAGGACUACGUCUUUUGAGUCUAGCGUAUGCAUCGGUUAGGAGGCCAGUAACUAGGAUCAUCUCUUUCCGAUCAGCAAUGCUGCAUCUUGUUUGCUUUUUGGUUCUUAGAGGGUUUCGUCAUAGUUGGGUUCUUGUGUUGCAAUCCUCUCUUACUAGCAAACAAUGUGGAGAUUGUUCUCUAUUCCGGCUUGGAGGAAUAUAUGGGAUCCGUAACUUUUAAUUCUUAUGUCGGUGCCAGGUUUCCAUUUGUCAUUGCCUCCUAAGAACUUGUGUCACUAGUUAGGAUUAGUCAGACUAACUUCUUUGCCAAACGGCAUUGCUUACGAGGAGUAGAUGUUGGAGUUGUUUUACUUGGAAGAAAGGCUGACAAUUCUGGCUUUCUUGGAGUUAACUUCUUCAACAACGAAUAAUGACGCUAACAGAAUGCAAUAAGAAAACGUAAUAAUAUUGAAGUUGGUUGGUGGUUUUAUCCCUAUCAACCAACUCGAGAUUAUACUAAGUCGCUAACUGAUAGGGGCUGUUUACUCCAGUUUAUAUUAGCGGAUGGUAAGGUAUUCUGCUGAUAUGAGGUGUAUUAGAAUUCUGUUUCUUUAUUCUGAUUCUCCCAGAUUUCAACUAAAACAUAUGAAUAGAUGGUUAUCUUCUUACCGCAAUAUCUCUUUGUGUUACUACACUUAAUUUCUGGUCUGUGAAGCAUUCAAUUGGUUAUCUUCUUAAAUCCACGCAUUUAGUUAGGACCUCUCUCUUAUUUGCAAUUAAACUGAUUUAUAUCAUUCAUUGGCCGUAAUGCAGGGGUCAGUGAGAACAGUUCCUCUACUGAGAGUAAUGUUGGAGGGAAGCACUUUACGGCACUAGCGAAAAAGGGUAUUUCUUUUCCUUUCUUGUCUAAGCGUGCUGAUGCUUAAUUUGAUAAAUCCCUGUUUAAAGAAUACACUAAGAAUCUUAGGAAAAUGUUACUGAUAAGAUGUUCUUGAAUAUAUUCAGCAUGAUUUUCUUUGGGGACCUUUUGCUGCAUUUCGCAUUGCUUAUAGUUUUGGUUUUUUGUUUUUGCUUAUUUCUAUGUUGUUGCAUGAACCUGUAAAAAGACCACUUUAUAUUUGGACCUCUUCACAUGUUAGAUAAUGGAAUAUAAAAAAGAAAAGCUAAUAUGCUUUGUGCUUUAUUGUGAAUAUAAUAGGGUUUGCAAGUCGUGUUGCGAAAGCAAAAUUAAAGGAGAUCUUGCAAAGUACAUACAGCCUCGAAAAAAGAAUUGUGAAUAAAAGUCAAAGGGAAAAGUAUAAUGCCAAACACUUAAACUUGCACUUAAUUUUUGACUAAAAUAAAAUAUAUGAUUAAUAGAUCAUUUUAUUCUACCACUUAGCCCUUCUUUCUGUUAGCAUGGUAAGUUAACAGAGAGGGAAAAAAGUGUAAAACCAAUAUAUUAACCCCAAAAUUUUUAGGAAAUGCUUUUGCAUAAGCCACUUUAUCUAAGGGCAAGUUUUAUCUGUUUAUUUUCUUUGAAAGUAGAGCCUAAAAGGAAAUUUGAGAAAAAGGUGAGAUGAACACAAGCCUUUUGAUCUAACAAUAAAAAACCAUAAAAAUGAGCCGUACUUGACAAGCUAUUUCAUCUAACCAACCAUUAAGAUAAACCAAAAGACGGUUGUAUUCAAAUUCAGUAUCUGCAUAGACAAGGUACAUAUAAUUCUACUAAAUCCAAGAAAAACGUAAAACCCUUUUUAAGAGAACUUGGAUCAUCCUCAUUUAGAAACAUGUAUAUUAUUGUAGACAAGCAACAAAUCAAUAACUCUUAAUUAAAAAGGUCAUGCCACAUGGGUAAUUCAUCUUGCCAAAUGUUUUGGAAUCGAGAGCUAUACAGAAAAUGUUCCAAUUAAUCAUCUUCUUUCGUCCUCGUGUUUGUCGUAGUUCUUCAUAACAAUACUACGUAUCUGCAACUAAAGUGAAGGAAAAUAUUUGCUUAGGCCAUAAGGGAGGGAGUAAAAUUCUUCGCUUCUCGUGUCGGUGCUGUAAUAUCUAAAUUUCUCCCACCAAUGCCAACCGCUAUCUCUUCUAACCGAAGGUUCCCAAUAAAGGUGAGUCCAAUCCAGUAAAUAAGCAAUUAUAGCCGCGACUGUUGCAGGCGACGAGAAUAUCACAUUAACAACAUCAUUGAACUGCAACAAACAAAGGAUUAGAAGUUAAUAAAAAAGUAUUACUGAUGAAUAUUGAGAUAUUGGGGCAUGAUAAGAAAAAUACAUACCGAUCUCGAACGGGUAUGCACGGGGCCAAAACCGGCUUCAGUUUCAUACUCCCUAAAAUAUUGUGGGAUCGACAAGCCCAAGAACAAAGAAAUGCCGAUAAUAAACUUAUUCCUUAGACUAUUAAGAUUGCAGAACUGAAGGAGGCCAAUUCCUGCAGAAGCUGCAUAAAUAUACAAUGAAAGAAGUAAUCAGAGCCAAUAGAGUGAAAGAUUCAGGAAACUAUAGGACAAUUUGAACCUAGAUGCUUUCCAUACUUCCUAAUUUAAAACAACUACAGUAUCUGAUAUCAAAUAUCGAUACCUAUAAAUAUCACCUAAGGCAAGUUUGGUUCGAGUUAUAUAACAUUACAGAUUAUUUAGACAUAACCAGGUAUCAGAUAUUUCUGAAUCAAAUACUACUUAUGCUGCAUUACCGUAUUUGGUUUAAUAUAGUAAUAUAAUGCUGGAUUAUAGUAUAUAUAGAAUUAUUAUGUUUGGUUCAAUUUAUAAAAUUCAGUAAUCCCGACAGUAAAGUGUAGUGGGGAAGGGUUCGUGCGAAUAGAAAUAGGGAAAGAGAAGAGGAGAAAGAGAGAGAGAAAAAAUGAUGUAAUAAAAUUGUAAUUUUAUAGAACAUGCAAGAUUAUCUGCCAUUAAUAAUACGAGAUACCCUCCUUUAUUCUGUAAUACUACAUUACUUACAGACGGGAUGAACCAAAUGCAAUUAUCCUAGCAGGAUUAUCUGUAAUUUUGGCAUGGUAACCCGAACCAAACGCGCCCUAGAGUAUUUCAGGCUUCUAUUAUUAAUAUAAUACCAUUUAUUCGAAAAACAGUGCAGAACCAUUACCAAAAUGGACAAUAGCAUUUCUUGUUUGAGAAUGAGAAUGAUCUUGAUCUAGACAAGUAAAAAUAUGUCUAACAAAAGAAAACUAAAUAGGCUGAAUGAAAUUUUUGGGACUGUUCUAUGUGCUAAGGUCUUCAGAGUGGCUUAUCAUGUGUUUUAGAACUCAUUAAGGUUCGGCGAAACAAACAAAAUACAUAUCCAAGAAUAUCAAAGGUCGAAGCUAUGGUAAUUGAACAAGUUAAUAUGAUAAAUGAUAGAAAUAUGGUGAUUAAACAAAUAAAAGAUUUAAACAAAGAAUAUACCAGCAUAGGCAAAGAGGACGCAGUAGAGUGCGGCAACAAGCGGAAAUGGGAUAGAGGCAAGAACUGCCCCAAAUUUUGCUGUGAUAUUUUGAGAACUGUAUCAGAUUAUCAUGAAAUAUGCAAGAGAUAUCAAUACAAAAUAUUGUAUGUAUAGAAUAUCACCGAAAACUGAGAAGAAGAUCAUAAAACAGGCCGAAAUUUUAAUAACACGUCGACUUCCGACUCGUGUCAAAGCCAAUAAACCUGCAUUCUCACUGUUUAUAAAUUCACCAGUAAGAUAUCUUAAAUUUUAUCGUUAAGUUCAUAUUCUUUUUCACUUUGAGUAUUAUAGAAAGCAGAUUGUUUACACUGAUGCUGCUGAGCCAUUUGCAGUACCAAAAAUACCAUCCAACAAAAUAGCUAUUCCCUGAAAUUGUUGAAGUUAUAUGAGGCAAGAACUUCAUAAUAUAUAAAAAGUAACAGCAUAAGAUCGCUAACUGAUAAAUACCUGCCACCCGACUCCGCGGCUGCAAACGGAAGGUGGUAUAAAUGUCGCACUUGCGAAUCUCGAUGCAAUAAUAAAAGUGCCCGUCGACUGCAAAACAACAUAUAUACUUAAAAGAAAAGGAAAAAAAAAAAUCUAAUUCUUAAGACUUAAGAACAAAACAUAUCCAGAUUAUAGCAUAUGUAGGAGUCUAGGUUGAGAUGAGAGGUGGGGAUAUAUAAGGGGUAUUGAAUAGGGUUCAGCACUGUAGGUUCCAAACUGGAUCACUGAACUGAACAGAUUCAUUUCAGUAAUUCGAUUUGGUUUAAUCUUAUGGAUUGAGAACAUAAAAGAACAUGUUUAACUAACUUUUAUGAUGCUUAUCCAGGUUGUGGGCAUAAACACAGUGACGCUUUUUUCUGCAAACUGAAACUUGAAGGUUAUCUGUCGCAGAUAAAACUUGACAAUAGCCAAAAUCCUAAAGCUGUUGCAAUUAGUCUUGAAACCAACAUCUUAGAUUGUAUAUUAAACCAUUAGAUAUUUGAAUUUUUUUUCCUUAUAAUUUGUCGAUGAUUUUUAUUCAUAUAUUCUGUGAUCUCAGAUGUUCAGAGAAUAAGUUCCUAUUGAAUCAACAAGCUCAAACUACAAAUGGAUGAUUAAGAUACCAACUAAUAAAAGAACAAACAUACCAAACAACAAUGAGGAAAACACGGGCAACGAAAGCUGAUUACUAAACAUCUCAUAAUAAUUCUUAGCAAACUAUGCAAUUAAAGACAUGAUUUCAUAGAAGUAACAUUUGCUGACAUGAAGUCAACUGAAAAGAAAAAGAGCCAACACUCAACAUAUACAUUGCAUAAGGUUCUGAAGGAUCUGAUACAGUAAUAAGCAAGUGAAACUAACAAGAUCUUUCUACAUCAGUACCUCGAUAAGUGAUGCGAACGAAGCGGCCAUCAUGGCGAAAACAUCUCCCGCAUGAAAACGGGGACCUCCCCAUUGAAAUGGAUAAGGAACUCUAACCCUGCAACAAUUCGUCGAUGAAAUCUUAAUCCAAAAGAAGCAUCUCAAUAAGAAGUUAAAGCCAACGUUGAGAGUCUAUUAGUUGAUAUGACUAAUGAACAUGCAUAAGGACAUUCCUACUGAUAAGGUACAUUAGUUCCAUUUAGCAUUGAGUAGUUGCAGUGAAAUACCAAGGAGAGGCGUAAAUAAGUCCGGCGCGAUCGACACGGCAACUAAAUUGGGUCUCUGGAGGCCUAUCUCUGUACGCACCAGCAACCGUCAGAAUAAACGCGUAGAGCCACACGAUAGCCACGACGAUUAACAAGGCGAAUCGAUCGAAGAUCACUCUUCUUCUUGUAUAUGAAUGUGGAACAUACUGCACAAAAAUGAAAUUACUAGUCAAAAAAGAAAUGCUACAAAUACCCAAUUAUAGAAGUUAUAAAUAAGGUGGCUUCUGAGUUAAGUUGUCUGAGUAGAGUUUACCAGAGAGAAUAUGACUAGAAGAACAAGUGCUGGUAGCCCAAUUUCUACACAUUUAGCCAGCUGCAGGAAAAAGGAACAAGCACAAUAAAGCAAUUAAUAAUAAAAAAAAUUGACAAUGAUCUAAUGAUGUGUUUGGCUUGCUUCUGCUUCUGCUCUCAGCUCUCUUCAGCAGCAAAAUGGAGUUUCUAAAUCUCGAAAAGAAUUUUUACUUAGAUAGUACUUUAUAAAAUUACACUGUAUUAUAGUAAUCGUAAUUACUUACUUCAGGGAAUGCAAUAUAGUAAAGUCCAAGAGCUGAUAAGGUCACAAAGGGAACUGCGGCGAGGGGGCUAAGAAACCUAUUCAAUUCAAAAAAAAAAAAGAAGAAAAAUUAGAAAUGCAUUUUUGGAAAUAAAGUAAUGCAAAAAUCCAAUUGCAAAUAAUGAAAAAGGGAAAUUAAGAAAGAAAAGAGAAACACAACAACCUAACAAAAAUUCUCCAGAGGCCAAAGUACCCAACAACUAUCUGAAAAACGGAGGAUAAAAUAAGAGCCCCUUGUAUGGAUCUCAUGGUGAGCACAAACCUCUGUUAAUUCACCCAAAAAAUAGCCAAAAAAAUAAUAAUAAUCAAUCCCACGAACUCCGAAAGGAGAAAAAGAUAGUAACUCUUUUUGUCGGACAUACAGAAUUAGAUUGAAUAGAAUAAGACGAAAAAGUUGAAACACAAUCAUUCUUUUUCAAACCCCGUCCUCGAAACUCGGCCCCGAUGCUUUGAGAUCCGUGCGGAGGGGGGAUCGGUAGAUGCGGGACGGGUCCUGGCGCCAGUUUGGCCCGGGACCCGUUUCGGCCGGUUUUCUUACGGGCUCGUGUUUAACUUCCUAUCCUAUCCAAUUCAAUUCUGGAUGCGCGAACAGAACAGUUUGGUUCGCGGAGCAGUAAAAACAUAAUCUGGGGUUCAAAGCGCGGGCAGAACAAAGAAGACCUCAUAAGGGUCGAUUAUGUAGGCGUAGCGUCUGCUGAGUAUGAUGGAGAUGGUGGGGAGGAGGUAAGUGUAGGAGCCCCCGAUCACAACGGGGAGCCGCGUCCCGAAGUGAACCUGCAACAGAGUGUUGAUCCCAGCCACGAAGAGCAGCGUCUGAAUCACCCUCGCCUUCUCCUCCUACACACACCAUCAACAUUACAAAAACAAUACAUUAAAAACAUUGGCAAGGGUGAGAACCGGUAGUGUUUAGAUGUCUCACGUUUUAAUGCAGCAUAAGUGGAAAAUGAGAUUCUGAUCACCUUAUAGCAACAUCCUUACUCUAGUACUUUAUAUUGAUUUGAAAAAUACCAUAUUAUUCAAAAAAUUGAUCUGAUAAACAAUAAUUUAGAAAGGGGUCUAAGACGAAGAAGAGAUCGCUCACAUGUCUGCCGCCCAUUAGGGGGACUAGAAUGGUGGGUAUGAUAACUGUAGUGCCCAGCAUCACCAAGUAGUGUUGGAAGCCCAGAAGCAUAGCUUCCGCUGAAAAAUUCAAAAAAAAAGAUUAAAAAAAAUACAAAAACACAAGUGCAUUAGCCGUGAGAAUGUACCUAAAAAGAUCGAUUUAAUAUAAAACAGUUGAAAAAAAAAAUGUAGUUAUAGUAUAUCAUGUUCACGUGCAUAUUAUAUAUUGUGCAUACGGAAAAAAUAUGAUAGAAAAUGAUUCAGAAAUAACCCCAUGGCGGAGGGCUAGUGAGGCAGUAGUCGAUCCCCGGCAACUGCUCCUUCACGGCGAACGGCACGAGCUCCUCCGCCUUCGGCCCCGGCGACAUCUCUCUCUCUCUCUCUCUCUCUCGUGUUGUGAGGGGAGAGGAUGUGUUUAGAGAGAAAGAUAGAGAGGGGGGGAGUGAUAUAAAGGAGGGAGUGUGAGAGGGGAGAGGAAACGCACGAACGCGCGCUUUUGGUUUUGCGUUGUAGUUGGUGUCGUUCGGCCUCCCCCGGAAAACCUUCGGUACAAAUGUACGGAGACCCCUCAACUAUAUGUUCUUUUGAAAUAUCCCCCUCUUAUUUUAUUUUAUUUUAUUUUUUUAAUUGAGACUUUCGCAACUUCUUAACUCUUUCUUUUUUUUUUUUUUUAUUAUACGAGUUGCCAGUAUCGUGCAUAAUGUAUACCGGUUAUUAUUCGUUAAUUGAUCUGAUUUUUAUUUACAAAAAAAAAAUUAAAGUUAUUAGAUUCGAUAAAAUUUUUUUUUGCAUAAUUUUAAAAUAAAUUUGAGAGAGAAAAAUAGCAUGCUAUCCGACUUUCUUAUUUUUUUAAGAAAUAAACUAAUAUGAAAACGUGAAACAAUUAAGUUUCGAAUCUGGAUCUCGGGUACCAAUCACCAAAUUCUUUACUGUUUGCACUAGAGGUGGUCGGUUUUCAAAGAUAAAAGUUGACGGGUUGUUUCAAAAUGGCAUAUAGUUGAGGGGGUCCUUGUACAUUUUUACCUAUUUAAAACUAUGUCCAUUGAAAAAAUAAGAAGAUAAUUAGAUAAUUGUGAUUGGACCUCCUCAGUUAUUGGCUAUACCGGUGUGGGCUCCUCAACUUAAUAAUUUCUUUUUUGAAUUAUUCUAGUGUGCUAAGUUAAAAUUAUUAUUAUCUAUAACUUAUUAAUAAUUUUAAUAUUAUUUUCUAUAAAUCAAUUAAACAAUCAAACUAAAUAAAUUUACAAAAUAAGUUAGAUGAAUUUUUUAAAUUAAACCAAGUAAAAUCACUCAAUCUCCAAAAAAAAAAAAAAAACUCAAAAAAUUCAAACAAUGCCAAUAGUAAAACUAAAUUUGAAGGGGCUAUUUCAGAGAACUCUGUAGUGAAGGGGGUCUCGGUACAAUUUUAUCUAAAUUAAAUUGAUAAGGAUAAAAUAUGCAAAUAUAGUAAGUUCAUAUAAAAGUCUCCCUAACAUUUUAUAUGGUCUAAUUUUCCAAAUUUCAAAUAGUGCGUGACAUUAAUGACAUGAGAGUGCAUUUGUCUUAGCAUCUAUGUCUUGGUGUUUAGAUAUGGAAAAGUGGAAUACUCAAAAAGAAAAAAAAAAUUUAAAAUACAUAAAAUUCUUAUAUAAAUAUUCUUUUUUAAAAAAAAUUUUAUGACUUUAAAAAUCUAUGUCUUAUCUCUUCAAAAAUUUAAGUCAAUACAUUUAGACUCCCUCCCUCAGGAUUUCAACACUAUUUCAUCUGUUUUUUUAUAAUUUAUAUCAAAAAUAUCUUUAAAAAUAACAUAAAUAUAUGAAAAAAUAAUUUUUUUAUAAAAUAAGGAAGAACAAUUUGAUUAUUUCGCCUUCUUCAUUGACACGGUAAUUUUCUGAAAAUACUUUUAGACAAAAUAUAGGGAAAAAAAUAGUAAAAAAUAGAUAUUUAUAAUUUUUUUUUUUUUAUAUUUUAGUCAAAAGAAUGAAAGAAAAAGUGUAGAAAAAGUAGAGACUAGACAUGAGUCUGUUUUAUUAGAUGAGAGUUGGUUAGCUAGAAAUUGAAGGAUAGGCACACCCAACUCUACUUACCUGAUCUUUUUAAGUUCAUGUGUGAUGUGGACAUGUUACACUCACAAGUCACAAGAGGGUUUUAGUUUGUAGCUUUCAUGAGCCCCAGAUUUGGUGAAAUUGUUGCCUGGACCUCGUGCACCAUGCACCAGUAUUCCCCAAGUUCUAAUGUGGAAGCUUAAAAUUAUUGGAUGUGAUAUGCAACACCUAUAAAAGAUUUCGAUACUAGAAUAUUUUAUAUUAUUUUGAAAGCUUUUUUUUAUGAUGUGAACUAUGCUAGCUCUGUUAAUAUCGUUAAAAGUUUUGAGACUACUUGUUAAGCUAUUAAUACCAUAAAUAGUAGGGCGAGAAAUCUAUGAGUCGCGGGUUUGAAUUUUAAGUAUGUUUUGGGUAGAAAUAUAGGUGGCCAAGCUGGGGAAGCAAAUGAAUCCAAAUUGAUGGAGCAUUCGUCCCAAUCCACCCCGAAUAGGACGGUAAGUGGUAACAAUAAUAUAGAAAAUUACAACCUGACCAAAAUCUGUCCCAAUCCGCUAAAUAAAUAAAGAGGGAGGUUGGAGACUCUUUUUUUUCUUUUUCUUUUCUUUUUUUUUUUUCUGAUCCGUCUUGAUCCGUUCAGAAUCGAUCAAAAAUUCGCUCCCGUCCUGAUCUGCUCCACAUAAAGCGAAAAGUAGAAGUCAAAAAUAGUAUAAAAAUUAACAUGCUCUGAAUCCGUCAUGACAAAACAUGUAAUGGGGUUAGAGGAGAGGGACUCCUUCCAUUCCAAGAUCUGUCCCAUUUGUAUUUCUAAACUAAGCUGCGUUUAUGCUUUUAAAAGUACUAAGUCAUUGGUGUUUGUAGGUUUUCAAUUCUUAGAUUAAGGGAUGUGUGGUUAGGAUGAUGUGGACUCUCUAGGGUUGAGUGAGUGGUUGGUUGAAUAGUAUAAUCUAACGGGUAAAAAUAAUCAAAGACGUAGAUCUACCGGUAAAAAAUUUAUAAUCACCAAGUGCUUGGUGCUUUUACAAGCACCAUAGCCGGACUCCAUAUGUGUGUGUGUGUGUGGCGCGCACGCCCGUGCGUGUGCGUGUGCGUGUUCGUGUGCGUGUGUGUAGGAGGGAGGGAGAGAAAAAGAGAUUAAUAGAGAUUAAUUUGAGACUAUUUCGUGUAUAGAUAAAAAAAAAAAAAAUUCAAGAUUUCUAUUAUUCUAACGUGAAGCAUUUAGAGAUUAUGGAUCUUAUUCAAUUUUUAGUAGGAGAAUUUGAGGCCUCUAUAGUAAAAAUUAAGGAAAACUUUAAAUACCCUCCUUGUGGGUUCACUUUUUCUCACUUUAGUAUCCUGUGGUUUAAAGUGUAUCAAGCUAGUACCCUGUGGCAUGUGGUUUAAAGUUUAUCAAGUUCGUAUCCUAUGGUUUCUCACUUUCUCACUUUAGUACCCUGUAGUUUAAUAUUUUAUUAAGAGAAAAAUAAAAUCAUAGAAUACUAACUUGAUACAAAAAUAAAACCACAGGAUACUAAUUUGAUAUAAAAAUAAAAUCACAGAGUACUAACUUGAUACACUUUAAACCACAGAGUACUAAAGUGAGAAAGUGUGAAACCGCAGGGUACUAACUUGAUACACUUUAAAUCACAGGGUAUUAAAAUGAAAAAGUGCGAAACCACAUAGAGGGUUUUUUGAAGUUUUCCCUAAAAAUUAUAAGCUGUAGUUCUUAGCAAAGAUGGUGGAUCAGGUCCAGCCAAUAAUUCUUGACAUGAUUAGGUCAAAUGGUCGAGUCUUGACCCUCGCACGUGCGACUCUUUCUUUUCUCGGAAUGUCGUGAUCAUACACCAACUUCAGCACCAAUUGGUUAGGAAGUUCCUUCUCUCACCCUUUGGCCUAGAUAUUUUAAAAAUAAUUUUUACAUAAUUAAUUUUAAUUUAAAAAUAUAAUUUUUAUUAAAAAUUAUAGAGCGUUUGUCAAAAUCUGAUAGAAAACUCAUUUUAAAAAUCUGUAUGGUAAAUUUAUAUAAUUUUUUUGCUAUCUUAGUGAUUAUUCAAUAUGGAUUGAUUCAUACAUUAAUUUCUGAUAUAGACGUCUCAAAUUACGAUCCUUAUAAUCAAGUUUUCAAUGUAUACCCAAGAUAUUGCCUCCCUCCAUAGUUCAACGUAUUUUCACAAGGAUCUGCUUAAUAAGGUAUUGAGAUGUAUUAGCAUACAUAAUAUAAAGUUUUUUUUUAAUAGCUCAUUACACAAAUGUACGAGAAGGAUUGUAGAAAUUAUCAAUACAUCAAGGCUAACAUCUUAGCUUUUUUCUUCUAGACUAGAAGUACAAAAUCUUGUAUGUUUGAAUGUAUAAAUCCACAUAGAUAUGCUAGAAAAUUACGUAGAUACUUAAAUGCUUAAUUGUUCAUACAGGUACAGGGACAAAUAGAUCAUCUCUCAUUAUAUAUUCAUGGAGCUACAACCCACCAUUUCCCGUACGAAUAAUGCCACAGUAAACCAACCGUCUUUAGAGCAAGUGGCAAAGGGCUUGGUGGUUGGUACCCGAGACCCAAGUUCGAAUCCUAGUUGAUUUAUAUUUCUAGCUAAGUUUAUUUCUAAAUGAAAUAAACGAAGCAGGUAGCGUGCUACCUAUAUCUCAAAUAAUAAUAAUAAUAAUAAUGCCACAGUAAAUAAAAUGCAUGGUAACUAAAGUGACUGGGGCUUUCCAAUGCAAUAUGGAGUCCAGUAUCUGGUGAUCUGCAUUAGUCUUUUAGUAGUGUAGUUUCCAUCAUUCAGAUUUUGCUCGAUCUCAUCUACUCCUACUAAGAGUGUGCAUGCAACAUGAAUCUUUGCAUAGGUGGGUCCAUUGUGUCUGACUAUAUGUUGUAAUUGAAUGACCAGAAAAACAGAAAAAUUGAAAAAAAAAAAAUAGUAAUCUGUAAUGGACAUAACAUAAUUUUCAUCUUGUAAAUUUCCUAUCGCAUCCAUAAUAAGUUGGGGUUAUUUUCAUUCCAAAUUUUAGUGUCAACAAAAUCACUAGAACUCCGCUGGUAAGGCAUGGGACAGGGCUUGGGAAGGUAUUGUGCUCCACUCCUCGUUAGAAAGAUCUUAGAGAGUUCUGAUUGAUCACAAGCACUAACAAACUAUUUAGUGAAGCUUUAUUUUAACCGUACAUUUCACUUAAAAGAAAAUAUCUGACUAACUGGAUCGUGAAUUUAGUAUAAUUACUAAAGCGAUAACAGAAUGAUAACGUGAGAUGUACAGUUUGUGAAACAACCAUUGUACUCUAAAAGUUUAACCUAUUAGAGAACGAUGUUUAAACAUUUUUAUAUUUAACACUCUCCCUCACGUCUGGACUCGAAACUUUUUUUAAUCGGCCCAUGACGUGGGCUUGAAUUAAAUGGAAGAAAAUUAAUAUGCUAGGAGUUUGGCGUGACUCGAACUCAGGAUCUCCUGCUCUGAUACCAUGUGAAACAACCGUUGUACUCUAAAAACUUAAGUUAUUAGAGAACGGUGUUUAAACAUUUUUAUAUUUAACACAGUUACAAUGAAGCCUUUAUGGAGUAGUUUUUUAGUGCAAUCUAAAUCUGACCCAAACUCGACUCUCGUGUAGGGAUGUUGGCUAUCGAACAAUCUCCACACCGUUGAUUAAAUUAAUUGCACAUUUUAAGCUAAUGUUAACAAACUUCAAUAUAAUUUUCUUAUUGAGAUUGUAGUAGGUUGAGAAAAAAGAAACCAGUUAAGAACAAUUCAUGAGAAAUAAAGAAUAAUUUAAAUCCAAGUUAGCAAAUAUCUAUUUUCCUGGUAGAAGUUGAGAAAGUAAUGCCCACAUCAGGGAUAGUCCUGCUGAGCUGUUUGAGCAGUACUUGACCUGUCUAGAUCUUCUGAUAUCACUGUUGGAGAAUAAAAAUUGUGGUAUAGUACUUGUAUAUCUAUUAAUUAAGGGCAUUUACUUUGAUAGUGAAGGAGAAUCAAAUUAAUUAUCCCCACUUCACAGCAAGGAAAAUGCUGUAUAUGCACCCUUUAUAGAAGAAAAUUUUUUAAAAUGUUUUGGUCACAUAUGCUAUGUGGCAUGGCCCAAUCAAUCACAAUUGAUCUCUAUGAUUUACCCAUCCCAUCAUAAUUUAUAAAAAAUUAUUUUUAUUGUACUUUUCUCUCAAAUAGAGACAUUGAUUAGCUGCACAUUUUUUAUGUGGUAUGACUGCUACACAGAAGACUUUUUUCUUAUAGAAAAUGUACAUUUUGCACUCUUGAUUUAAGAGUUGAUAAACCUUUUUAGAGUCUUAGUUUUUUUUAAAAAAAAUUUAAUUAGACAAUUGUAUUGACAAGGGUCACAAGUUGCCUAGGGUAUAAAAUUUACAUGUUAUAAGUAGGGUGUAUAGGUAGUAUUGCUCCUAUAGCCAUUAAAUUUUAAUUUAUCAUAAUCUCUAACUCUCACUUUCUUAAUUGUUACUCCAAUUUAGUUGAUUUGAUACUAAUAUUUUGCCAAUACAGCAGUGAUGUGGCAUUUUAGUAAUUGUAACUUUAUCGAUUGCCCCAGUUCCACAUUAACGAUUCAUCACUGUUUAACCAACUAAAUUAGACUAUAGGACUUGUUUAUAGAAAUUUAAAAAGUUCGAGCAAGAAAGUAUAAUAAAUUAAAGUUUAAAAACCAAAAGUGUCACACAUCAGUCUGAGUACCAAAAGUGCAAUUUAGGCUUAUUUUAUCAGUAAUAUAUCUAGUUUAUAAGAGCAUAAAAGUGAUUCCAAAAGUAAUACCACAUAACCAUUAAUCUUUUUCAAUAUUUAACACGGGUCGCAAAACAAAGUUACAACCUCAAUUAAUAGUGGACUAACUAAAAGUCAAAUCCACGCUUUCCACCUCUCAUGAGUCACAGGUUAUUAUUGGAUAAUUUAUUCUAAAAUAGGAUCCAAGUAAAUUUACUUAUUUCCACAUAAAUGAAUACAUAAUCAAUCUUUUUUUUUUUUGAGAGAGAAACGUAGCAUACUAUUUGCUUCGUUUUGCUUCUUUUUUUUUUUUUGAAAAUAAACUUAGCUGAAAAUGUGAAGCAAUUAAGUUUCAAACUUAGGAUCUCGAAUAUUAACCAUCAAAUCUUUUGCCACUUGCGCUAGGGAUGUUUGGUAUCAACCUAUAAUUUUUAAUAGAUCCAGGUUCAAUUAAUAUGACAACUUAGUGCAAAAUAUGAGUCUAUUGCCUACUUACUAGUAAUUACUAAGUAGAGAGGGAGAGAGAGAGAGAGAGAGAGAAAAGGGAAAAGCUUUGGAUAGGAUAAAGUUAGGUGAGAGUAGAAGAGAGCUUUUGAAAAAGCUUCAACAGGAAUCUUAGAAGAGGUAGUUGAUGUAAGUUGCAGCAACCAUGAGAAUGUAAUAACCAAUUAAUGGAAAAGUAAAGGUGGAUUGGUUAUUAUGGAAGGCACAACUCAUCUACUUGUGUCCAAAAUGUGGGUUAGUGUUUUUUAUGGAUUGGAAGAUUGGUUGUUGGGAGAAUUAGGUGAUCUUUUAAGUCAUUGGACAACAGAAUUUUUUUAUUUAUAUUUGGUAAUGGUAGUAUCAGAGUUAAUUUGGUGUUUUUCACAGAAAAUAAAGUUUGAAGAUAUCUAUACACCAUUGUGUAAGUUAUACUAAAAGACAUUUGAGAUGCAUUUCGUCAUAGAUGAGCAAUAAUAUGCACUCAAUGUGCUCCGUGUGCAUGCUUAAUGUGCACACUAAAACUCUUUAUUGCUGAAAUGAAAAGAAUUACAAUAAUUGCUAGGGAGCCACAAAUAAUUCGGUUUGGAUUUUUCGCCGGGACUUGAGCUUCUAACGAAUACUACGUUCAGCAGCUUGGUUUGGACCGAACUUAGAACUGCUAAAAAUAGUCACCUUUUUCGCUCGAAUUAGAGUGCACCGAAUAUUUGAGAUUUCGACUAAACAUUGAAAGGCUCUAGUGAAGAAAUAAUAGCUAUUGCUAAAAAUUCUUGAACUACUUACUAACUAAAGCAACCGAAAACUAAAACGAUCGAAUUGGAUUUUUAAAAAUAUUUGAAAAAUGGUCAUUUCAUUCAUCUCACUCGAGAUAUUUAUAUUCCCUCCAAUCCGACUCCCAGACCACGAAAAUCUUAGCAAAAUUUCGUAAUCUCUUAUUGUAGUUAUCUCUUUUCAAAUUGUAUUCUCUUUCUUUCUAUGCAAGGAAGAGUUUUUUAAAAUGCUAAAUAGUGUGGAGUUUCUAACAUAAUGUUGUUCAAAUCACAUUCAUUCGUCUUCUUCUUUUUCUUUUUCUUUUUUUUUUUUUUUUACUUGUGUUGAAAUUUUUGUUACCUUAUUAAGUAUUUUGAAGGGAAAGAAAAACUAAAAGUUUUAGCUAUAAAUAGAAAAACUGGAAAAAGGAAUAUAGCUUCUCAACACAUGAUAUCUAAUUUUCACUACUACACAGGCAUGAGCAGUUCUAAGAUUGUGAACUCGAACGCUAGGCCCAAAUAUUUAGCCCAAAUAUUAAAGCCAAUUGGCCCACAAAAGGCCGUCGAUUCAGCUCAACAUGCACUAAAAUGGGCAUUGUAAAGAAUGAAACUUAGGGCGCGAUUGUUUCGAAGUAAGCGGGAGCCAGAUUUUUGAUCAAAUGGGAUUGCAUCACGGCUGUGAUACAUACCAGACGUGUUGAGACGUUUCGGACUCAUGUAUAGUCAGAGGUGGUGACUUCGUCUCUCUUCCUCGCAAUGUCACGAUCUGAUCAACCAAACAAUGAAGAUGAUGCGAGGAUGCAAAUGGGUCGGACCAACAGAUAUUAACCAGCAAAUCCUUUAUUACUUGCGCCAAGGGCUGUUGGUCUGCCUAGUAUAGUUAUAAACUUUAAAAAAUUGACAUAGAAAAGAUCGAAGACUAAAACUAGGGUUCUGUCGGGACGAAGCCCAAUCAGCCCGUUUUUUGUGCUUGCAUAUCGAAAUUUUCGUCUAGUCGAAUAAUUUCCAACCCUAUCGGGCUCAUCGAGUCCAAUCCAGGCCACCGAUUUUGCCAGGGCCAUGUAUCGUCCUUGGGCCUUACCCUGUGUCCUAAUAACUUACCAUGUUUUGUAGAUAUUUUCUUAUGCAGUUGCAAUUUACUGGUAUGCUUUUAGCCAUUUCAAGUUCCUGACAACUGAGACUGACUGUCCCUAGAGCAAGUGGCAAAAGACUUGGUGGUUGGUACUCGAGACCCAAGUUCGAAUUCUAGUUGAUUCACAUUUUCAGCUAAGUUUAUUUCUAAAUAANGGAUUCUAAUACAAUCUUAUAUCCUAAUUGCACUAAUAAAGAUCCACUAAUCAGGUUCCGUCGGAUUUCAGGGGAAUGCUGCACAUUGUGAAGGAUUAACGUCUUUCCUGAAGUUAACUUCAGCUUGACUGUUCCGAUCCCCAACACAUUGACAGCUUUUCCAUCUCCAACAGUCACACAUCCUCCACUUGUGUCCUGAUAAGAGGAAAAUAGGGAUCUAUUAGUGCAAACAUGGACAUUGGUUCCAGAAUCUAAUCACCAAUCUAAAUCAUAAUAGGUAAGGUUAACACUAGGUACAAAAGAGACUGACCUAAAAGUGGAGUUGGAAGGUUCACCCUUAAUCAUGUUGACCUGAGGUUUAGGAUAGUUGUUCUGAUUGUCUUGGCCCUUCUUGUAGACAACCUUCUUUUUCUUCCGAUAAAAACAUUUUGAGGCAAAAUGGUUGUCACGGCCACAUACAUAACAGAAACCAUCAUUCUUCUUAUUCCCACUAGGUUGGUUGGUAUUGGGUUUCUGGGUAUAGUUCCGAUUUCGAUUAGGGUUCCUACCUUUAAAGCCUUUACCCUUAGGUUUAAAAUUUUUACCUUUGGGUUUAGGCUCAUGGCUCUGGUUCGGAAUCUCGGUCAGGUUUAUGUUUGAUCGGUUGUUGGACGGUUUAAUCUCUCUAAGUCGGUAUUGGUCUUCUAUUCUAAUGGCUUGGAUUACCGAUCUAAGUUUAAGAGUUUCCUGGGUUCGUCUAAGAUCUUAGGCAAAUUUGGUCCAGAAAGGGGGUAAUUUAUCCAAUAAACAGGUUGCCUGAUAGGUUUCAUCUAGGGUUGAUCCAUUCCUAUGAAUCUCUUGGACAAAAUUCUGAAAUUGGUGAAUUUGAUCGUUUAUAGGAAUGUUGUCUACCAUUCUAAAAUUGUUAAAAUCGGUAAUGGUAAAUCUGGCGACACCUUCAUUAUCUCUAAUGUAGGCAUCUUCUAAGGCAAGCUAUAAAUCUUUGGCAGUUUGAUAUUUCCUAUAAGUUUCAUAAAGUUCGUCAGAUAGGCAGUUAAGUAUUCUAAACCUACAGUGAAAUUCAAUUUCCUCGGGAGAUUUGUCAGUUUUAAGUUCUGUAACUGAGGUGGUUGUAGAAUCAGAUGGAGGAGUUUCAAUAGGUGGAUCAGAAGAAUUUUUAGAAGUAGGAUAAGGAGGUGUUUUUCCAAUUGCAGUUAUGAGGCCUAAGGUGGUAAGCCAAGCCUCUAACUGUUCUUGCCACCUCAAAAAUUCUACCCUUUUAAAUUUUUUUGGUUUAAGGCUAGAAGUGUCAUCGAAAGCCAUUCUAAACAAUCUAGUUGAGGGAAUAAAGAAAUCAAGGAUGAUAAAAAUAAACUGCAAAAAAGGUUCAAAAACCCUUUUUAGAAAAAUAAACAUAUUGUUAAGGUUUCUACCCUAGUCAACCAGAAUAUUUUAGGGUUUAAGUGUUUAAAUUUAAUCUCUUAUGAAAGUUCGUUCAGCAGCAAACAGAUGGCCCAAACAAUUUAAAUAAUUGAUUUCAAUUAACUAAUUUUAAACAGAUAAUAUAUGCAAUGAGAUAAUAUUUAUACAGCAAAUAGAGUUAAGAAACUACUGCAAUAAUAAAAGAAUAGAAAGUAAAAGUGGUAGUGCUGGUUAGAGGGAGUAGUGUUUGAAGAUGCCAUUUAGGCCAAUCGUGGGUUCAAAUCCCAAUUGAAAUAGUUUUUCAAAAAUAUUGUAGCAAUUUUUUCUUUCUAUUUUUUUUUUCCAAACAAAAUUUUACAGUAGCAAAACCAAAACAGUAAAAUAUAUAUGUUUUUUUUUUCCCGAAAAACAGUAUAAAUUAAAAUUAAACUUUUGAAAAGAACCGCACACUUUAAAUAAAUUUACUGUAGCAAACCUUUUUUUUUUAAUUACCAAAGAUUUUAUAGUAGCAAAUUAAAACCUCCGUAUACAAGAGAGCUAAAAAAAAUACUGUAACAAUUUUUUUUUUAACUUUAACGAAAUAGUUUUACUGUAGCAAAACUAAAACCUUAAAUUUUCUGUUGUAGACAAUUUUUUUUUUAGUAACAGUAGAAGACAAAUAAAAAUUGCAAGCAAACUAUAUGCAAUUAGAUUUUAAAAAAUGCUAAUCCCAACUUAAAUUAAUUUUNGUUCAUCACAAUUGUGAUCUUACAAAAUAAUGUAUUUUAUAUCUAUAAAGUAAAAUUUUUAUUCUAAAGAAAAAGACUUAGAUGCUACACAAGUUAUCUCGCAGGCUCUUCAUCGACCAAAUACUGUAUUAUUCUUAAAGUAAAUAAAAAAGAGGCAUCGAGUAAGAUUCUCAUGCAUCAACUUGUCCAUCUAACUACUUCGAGUAAUCGGCUCAUGCUUUUGAAAUAAUCAGCUAUUUCAUUGUGGGUCCCAUGAACUCAACUUUGCCCCCGCCAAACAUGAAGGUCCGUUUGUUUUGGUGUAAGUCAAAAAUAUAAUGUAACUUAAGUUAUGUUAGACCUCCACUUUAUCUACUUUCGACUUUCUCUGCCGAACUCGACUUCCGCCACACUCAACCUCCUCUAAAAAAUUUAUUAAAUAGUGAAACUUAAACUUUAUUUCCUUUAUAAUGGAUUAGAAUUACCUUAUUUAUAAUAAAUUAAAAUUAUAAAAAAUGUAAUUAUAUAAAGGUUAAAGUUUAUAACAGUAAAUUUACCACUAUAUUUAGGAGAUAACGGGAUUCACUUACUUAUAUCAAAACAAACAACAGAACUUAAAAAACUAAUUUUACCAAUACCAAGUUGCAUCAAAACAAACAGAAUUAGUUGAAUUUAACUUUCAAACUGUACAAGUUACGUUAAAACAAACAACAAAAAAAUAAUCACACUUUAGGAAAACUCAAAUACCAUUGCAUUUGACUUACGUUGGAUCUAUAGAUUUGUCAAUCCAAACGCCCCGAAGUUGAAAACGGGCACUGGACAGGAACUCCGCACUCCCUCUCACGCUCCAUACAAUAGGAAAAUGGUUUUGUCGAAUCCGCGAGCAUCAAUGGAAUGCUCCGCUGUCCAAUUUUCUGAUGAGUUCCAUCCGCGAGUUAUGUGCAACCGAACACUCUCUAACCAGGGGCGGAGCCAUCGUAAGGCUCGCAGUCUCAGUGGCUUAUGGCUCUCCUAACUUUUAAAAAUUACAUAUUGGUCCUUUAUAAUAAAAAUUAAAAUAUUACAAAUUUUAGUUUUAAUUUAUUUUAAUAAAACAUGUGUCUCAAUAGUCCUUUUCUUUCAGCUUUUAUAGUCUUGCUUUUUUUUAAAUACAUUAUUGUUGAGGAAAACCCGCAACGAAUAAUCCGAUUGUGACAAAAUCUAACUAAUUUAGUGAUAAAAUUAAUAACAUUAACUUACCAGUAAUCGCUAAAUUCUAAAAAAAUAAAUUGUGGAAGUAGAAUGCCAAAUUAAUUUGAUCCGGAAGCGUGCGAAGCACUGCCCUAAGGCGUAUUCCCGUCCUUCGUGUGGGAUUAACCGGAAACACCGCCCCAAGGUGCGACCGGAACUCCUUCUCCUACGAGCACGAUCGCGGAAGAGGUUGACGGAGACUCUUUCAACACUCGGUGAAAAAUAAUAAAAUGAAAGAAAAUAACAAAUGAUUCUCAAAUAGUAUUCCUUCUCACUGUUAUCUAUGUUUCCAAAGUGUUCACCUCAUAUGUAUAUAUAUAUAUAUGUCCUGUCCAAUACUAUGGACGAGGUAAUAAAAUAUAAAGGGUUAAAGUAUGGAACGUUAGAGCCCACAACGUUCCAACGCACUAAUUAAGGUCUUAAUUAGUGGAACGGAUCUGCGCACGAUCCCCCCCUCGCGCGGAGCGGCCGUAGUUGAUGCGGUCGUUUCGCUAAUUGAUAAUUAAAAGUUAAUAAAAAAAAUUAAAUAAAUAAAAUUUUGGAUUUUCUCCAACAAUUAUAACUGCUGUGCUAGCAAUAGAUGGCUAGUAAACAUGACAAACUCUUUUUCUUAUUAUUCGAUGCCGAAUUUUUUUUUUAUAUCAAACCUAAAAUUUUGGCUUCCCCUUUCCCAACUUUAAUUUUUGACUUCGUCCCUGUCUCUCUGACCCACCGAUGCCAAAAUCAAAUAAACACCGAAAGGUGAAAGAGGAGCCUCGAACCACCAGCUUUAUGGCCAUUACUAACAAAUGAAAUUAGAAAAAGAUUGAUGCCACAGUUUUAGUUGAGAGUUGGCGCUUCCCCCUAUCAAUUAAUGUGUAAAAAAAAAAAAAUGUAUGAAUAGUCCCUGUUCUAUCCCGACAUUGUAACUUGGUUUCUCUACUUUUUAAUUGUACUAUUUAAUUUUCAAAUAUUAGGGGCGAUUUCAAACAUACUCCACUAAAAUUUAAAAGUUUACUCGUAUGCACUUUUAAAGUCUAAAAUAUCAGUUAAAUCCUUCACACAUCUAUUAUCAACUUCUAUUAGUAAACAAUUAAUAAGCUUGUCCGAGUUAAAAGUGAGUUAAAUAUUAGUUAAGUUAGUAAAAUGAUGAUUCUACCCUCGUCUAUUACUUAUAUGGGACAAUAUAUUUAUACAUAUUUUUUUAUUUAGAAUAUAGUAUUUAGUUUUAUACUUUAUAGUAUGAUAUUUUUUUAAAAAAAAACAAUUUCUUAUUAAGUAUGUGAUCUAUGACUUUUAUUUUAUUAUUUUUUUAUUUAGAAAAAUUUCUUGAUACUAAGUUUACUAAUUUUACUACGUUUUUAGCUUAUUACCGGGGGUACAAAUUAAAUUUUAAAACUAAUCCAUUAAAUUUGGACGGUUUUUUGUUAGUAGAAGUAUUCGAUAAUAUUUUUUAUAUUUACAAAGGCAUUGAUAAUAUUUUGAACUUUAAAAAUAAUAUUGGUAAAAUUACAGUUUCUCAGCAAGAUAUUUGGUCAAAUUUUCCAUUUUAAGUAUAUAUGGACUUUACUAUAAGUUGGUCUCUUAUUAAAUUUUAUUUAAACUAAACUAAAAUAAAUUAGGCAUUUUCGAAAAGAAUAAAAUGAUUAUUCAAAAAAAAAAACAGAGAUUAUUUUUUUCUUAAUCAUCAUCUUACUUUUAAUUAAUGCGGUGCCAAAGUCUUGAUUAUCGUUGGACCAGUUAAGUGUCCACCAUCACAAACGUGGGGCCCACACAUGUGAGAUUCACAAGUUUGCUUCACAAUUAAUACACAUAUAACAAUAUAUAACGGCAACCUAAAUUCUCUAUGGAGUCGUCAACCGUCUAUGACGUAGGUGAUAAAGGACACUAGUAAUCGUAAGUUCAAAAUUUAAUUACUUAAUAUUUUUUAAAAAAGCUCACAUUACCAAAUAAUGGAGUACCUUUCUGUAUUUUCAAAAAAAAACUCAUGUUUUCUAAUCUCACAUUUUUUUUUUUAGGGACAAUUGUUUAUAUACCUCUGAAAGUUUUCGAUUUUUCGAUUUACCCCUCUUAGAAUACUAAUAUUGAAAAUACUUUUUCUACGUUCCAACAUAUUUCUAAUAUAUCCCUAGAGUUAAAAUCUGUUAAUGAACUUUGUUAUCUCUGUAAAAUUACUAUUUGACCUUUUCAAAUAUACCCUUCCACCAUCACUGAUUUUCUUAUUUGCCCUUAAAAUCAGGGGCACAAAAAGUAUUUUGAUUUUUGGUCUUUUUCAAUAUACCCGUCUACCGUCACCAACAUUUCUUAUUUGACCUGCAGUUAAGGGCAAAAUCGGCAUUUUAAUAUUUUUUAACUGUGGUAGAUAUUUAACUCACGUUUAACUAAAGGUGUCCAAAAUAUCCGAUAUCCCAUACCCGACCCGGACCCUACCCGGACCCAAACCGGACCCGAUAAAAAAUGAAUAGUAUACGGAUAAAAAAAAUUACCCAUUAAAGUUUCGGGUAUGGGUCCGGAUAUUUUAUACCCAUACCCGAUUUGGACCUGACCCGAACCUAACUUUUAAAUGAGUAGGGUCCGGAAUAGUUUUCAAAUCCGGAUCCGGACCCGGACCCGAUGAAAUAUCCGAUAGUAAAUAAAAAAAAAAAACUUUUGAAGUUGAAGAUUAAUUUUAAUAUGACUUAUAGAUGAUGAGUCACUACGUAUUUUCAUCCUAAUGAAACCCUAGCCGUCUCUUUUACUCAUUACUUUUUUCUAAUUUUUUUACUCUUUGUUUUCUACUCCUUUUUUUUCAUUUCAUUUCCGCCAACAAUAUUUCAUUGUCAUCAUCAUCAUCAGUGUCAUCAUUAUCAUCAGCGAUAAUAUUUCUUUUGAAUGAAUUUUAUUGGACGGUACAACUUAUUAGAAUGCGAGUUUUUUUAUGGUGGGGUUUAUAGUUUGCCUAUUGACUAUUUAAUAAAGUUUAUAAAAAAAAUAUAUUUAUACGGAUAUCCGUACCCGAUCUAGACCCGAUCCAUAUCUGGUCUUGAACGGGUUACGGAAAGUCACUACCCAGACCCGCUCAAAUAGACCCGAUGAGUAUAUUAGUAACUUUAGUACCCAGAUCCGGACCUGACCCGAAGUUAAAUGGGUAGGGUAUAUAUAUUUUUUUGUAACCAUUUCUUUUUAGGAUAUGGGUACAGUAUAUUAAUUAUCCAGACCCGACCCGGUCCACGGACAUCUUUACGUUUAACCCAAGUUAACUUAACAGGAGAUAACUGCGGGGUAUUUUACAAUAACGGUAGAACAUAUGAAAAAUAUUUUAGAAAGGAAAAAAAAAAUAGGAAUAAAUCGGAUAAUUUCAAACAUAUGAGGAGUAUAUAAGUAAUUAUUCCUUUUUUUUUAUAAAAAAGAAAGAUGUAAGUAAUCUUUCUGUUUCCCUGUUUCCCCCAAAGAAAAAAUAAAACUCAAUCAAGAAGGUAACAUAGUUUGUCACCUUUCUGUCUCUUAAAAAAAAAAAAAAAUCAUGUUUUUUGGUCUCAUAUUUUAUUUUUUUUAAAUGAAGUAGAUAAUAUAGAAUCUUUCUAUCUCUCAAAAGAAAAACUCAAUAAAACAGAUAAGAUCAUACCUUUUUGCCUUAAAAAAAAAUUGUAAUUUUGUUCUAUUUUUUUUGUUUUUGGUAACGCGCCAAUAAUUCCAAACUUGUAGAAGGUUGGUGCUUCUCGUGCUAUGUAAUAAUAUUGUAUUAAAAAAUUGAAUUUGACUCCUGUCAAAUAAAUAAUAACUAUUGGGAUCAGUAGUAACUCAGACAAAUCCUAUACAAAACUUCUGCGUCUCACCAUGGCGUGUAAAAUUUUAAACACUUUUAUUUAUUAUUAGAUACUUAAUUAUUAAUGACUAAACCUAAAAACAGAAACAAACAUACAGCCAAAUAGAUGUUAUAAAUUAUUUGCACGAAACCUAUCUCCCUAAAUUCCAAUUUAUGAAACCUUGACUUGUUCAAUUUUAAUAUCUUAAAUAACAGCACAACGUUUUCGUGCUAAAGAAUGAAAAAUGACAGCAUUUGAAUUUUUUUUUUUUACCUCUUGCUUUUUUCUGUUUUUUAUUUUAUUUUUUAUGAGAACAACAUUUGAUUUUGGGUCUACACUCAAAGCAUUUAGUGGCACCACUAUUUUUUUUUUCUAUUUUUAUUCUUAAGCUUCAUUUAGGAUUGUAGGAAGAAUAAUUAAUUGUAUUACGGGCAAUAAAAAAAAGUAUGGUGAAAAAAUACUCUAUUUAUUUUAUACGUAAUAUUAUAUUCUGCAUAUUGCAACGCAUCAAAUAUCUACAAAAUAUAUUUUAUGGAGAAACAUAUUCUUAUAUAUUUUUGUCCCAAUUCCGUUUUGCCUAUUAGCUAAGAUAAAACUCAAUAUCAAACAGACUUAUAUUAUAAAAUAAUUUGUUGAAUAUAAAUAUUAAAAAUAUUGUUCACUUAAAUUUUAGUGACAAAUGGUUGUUCAUGUAAAGGAACAAAAAUUUCAAUAUUUUAUAUUCAAUAAUAUCACAACUGCAAAAAACCAAGAUAAGAUAGUUUGCUUGUAGUUGCUUUGAUUAUUUUUUUUAAAAAAAAUUUACCAAGUUAAUUUUAUGAUUCUUUUUAUUGCAAAUAUUCACAAAAUUGAUCAUAUUAAUUACCAAAGAGAAUUAUUAUAAAACAGAAAAAAAAAAUUAUGAUCCUGUAAUUAAAACAACUAAUUGUUCUAAAAACUUAAUUUAAUAAUUGAAUACUCAAAAUAAAAUUAAUUAAGGUGACAUAACAUGAUGGUUCUGUUACAUCCAAAUUGAAUCGAAAGUAAAAGAGAACAAGUGAAAAACAUGCCCUAAAAUUCUUCAAUCUCAAAAAGGUUUUAUUAAUUUCUUAAUACUAUAGAUUCGAUUACUUAAUUCAACAUAUUUUCCUUUGACUUUUCCGUGUUUUUCUUUGAACCCUAUUAUAAGAAAUCGUUCUCAACAUAAAUAGCUUGUGAAUUGUGAUGCACGUGUCCAACCACAUUAUUUAAUCCCACAAGAAAUGAAGAACCUCUCAUAUCUAGUCACAUUUAGUUGCCAUGUUUUUUUUUUUUUUUAAUUCUCUCAUUAAUAACUCAUUUUGAUAAAUCUCUCAUUAAUUUAAUUUGAUAAAAUUUUAAUAUAUAUACAUGUUUUCUUUUGAGCUUGUCACAUAUCAUGUUUACUUUUUUUAAAAAAAAGAAUAAGAUAACAUGCCACUUGCUUCAUUUAGUUUUAUUAUAAAUAAAUUUGGCUGAAAAUGUAAAGCAAUUAGAUUUUAAACUUGGGGCCUCGGAUUUGCACUGAAAUGGUCGGUUUCAUAUAUUUUGUUGUACAUCUCCAAAUUACUCUCUCUCAGAAGAGAUAGAGAGAGAUCGACUAUAUUUAUUUUUGUGAUUUUUUUAGGAAACUCUCAGUGUAUAUUUUUUUAUACAAUUUUCUUAAUAACUUUUUGUUACAAUAAAAUUUACAAGUAUUUUGAAUCCUAUUCAUAAAAAUUAUAUAAGUUAUUAAGAUUAACUGAUGAAUGCAAAGUUUGGGAAUUGAUUGUAUUUUUGCCAUCCAAAUUUGACCACUAUUUUGUGGUCUGUUGACCGUUGAUUUUUCAGUAUUAGGACCAUUAUAAUGACCAAAAAGGACAUUUUUUUAAACUAAUUUAAGAUUUAUAUUUUAUGUAGAAUAACAUAAGAGAUGGAAUAGAAAAAUUAGAAAUUACAAAAAAUGACUAAGAGUGUUUAAAAAGAUCCUCAUUUAAAGGUAAAACAGUAAUUAAUUUUUAAUUACUAAAAAUCCAAAUUUAAAUGGUCGACUAAUAAAUGGUGAUAAAUUACAAUUUUUGAUUAUCCGUGACGAUUAAUUAUCAAAUUAACAUUUCUGAGGAAACAAUCUAUAAUUUAGUAUAAGAAUGUACAACUUAAACACCGGCUAAACAUGUGAGCUCUAGCAAAUAAUCUCCUAAACUUUUAAUUUUGCAAUUAAAUCCUUUAGACUUUAUUAAACAGUACUAUAGCUUACAUAUGAUCUUGCGAAGUUUCAAAAUAUAGUAAAAUCUAUCUUAUCUUUUCAAACGCUUGAAAAAAAGAUAAUAAAAAUCAAAUAUACAUUUUGCAUAUUAUUCAAUUCUUAGCAUAUUAUUCAAUUCUUAAAGCCUAACUAAAAUACUAUUGAUAGUAGAUGAAUAAUAUUUACUAUCAACUUUUAAAAUUCUUGGAUUCAUAAUAGUACUAUCACCAAAUAGUAAACCUUAAAAGCAUCCAAAUGAUAAAACAUUGAUAGCAAUCAUUAUUCCUCUUCUAUCAAUAGUAUAAUUAUGAUGCUUAAAUUUUAUCCGCAAAAAGAAAAGUAGGAUUAUUUGUGAUCAUAUGCAAGGUAUUCAUUGGCGCCGCCAUUUGAUGAAAUUUAGAAAAUCUGGUUGGCAAAAUUAAAAGUUUUGAGUGUGAUAGAAAUCACCUGAAUUCAUUCCUUCUAGCAUUUUGCAGUGAUUAGUUCACAAAUUCUUUCUGAUGCUUAAAUUUUGUCCCCGAAAAGAAAAGUAGGAUUAUUUGUGAUCAUAUGCAAGGUAUUCAUUGGCGCCGCUGUUUGAUAAAAUUUAGAAAAUUUAGUUGGCAAAAUUAAAAGUCCAGAGUGUGACAGAAAUCACCUGAAUUCAUUCCUUCUAGCAUUUUGUAGUGAUUAGUUCACAAAUUUUUUCUGAUGCUUAAAUUUUAUCCGUGAAAAGAAAAGUAGGAUUAUUUGUCAUGAUCAUAUGCAAGGUAUUUUAUUGGUGCCGCCAUUUGAUUAAAUUUAGAAAAUCCAGUUAGCAAAAUUAAAAGUUCAGAGUGUGUGAUAGAAAUCACCUAACUUCAUUCCUUCUAGCAUUUUGCAAUGAUUAGCUGACAAAUUUUUUCUGAUGCUUAAAUUUUGUGCGCAAAAAGAAAAGUAAAAUUAUUUGUGAUCAUAUAUGCAAGGUAUCAUUAAUUGGCGCCGCCAUUUGAUGAAAUUUAGAAAAUCUAGUUGGCAAAAUUAAAAGUUUAGAGUGUGACAGAAAUCACUUGAAUUCAUUCCUUCUAGCAUUUUGCAGGGAUUAUAUAGUUGACAAUUUUUUUUUUGAUGCUUAAAUUUUGUCUGCGAAAAGAAAAUUAGGAUUAUUUGUGAUCAUAUACAAGGUAUUCAUUGGCGCCGCCAUUUGAUGAAAUUUAGAAAAUCUAGUUGGCAAAAUUAAAAGUUUUGAGUGUGAUAGAAAUCACCUGAAUUCAUUCCUUCUAGCAUUUUGCUUUGAUUAGCUCACAAAUUUUUUCUGAUGCUUAAAUUUUGUCUCCGAAAAGAAAAGUAGGAUUAUUUGUGAUCAUAUGCAAGGUAUUCAUUGGCGCCGCUGUUUGAUAAAAUUUAGAAAAUCUAGUUGGCAAAAUUAAAAGUUCAGAGUGUGACAGAAAUCACUUAAAUUCAUUCCUUCUAGCAAUUUGUAGGGAUUAUAUAGUUGACAAAUUUUUUCUGAUGCUUAAAUUUUGUCCGCGAAACGAAAAGUAGGGAUUAUUUGUGAUCAUAUAUAUGCAAGGUAUUCAUUGGCGCCGCCAUUUGAUGAAAUUUAGAAAAUCUAGUUGGUAAAAUUAAAAGUUCAGAGUGUGACAGAAAUCAUCAGAAUUCAUUCCUUCUAGCAUUCUGCAGGGAUUAGUUGACAAGUUUUUGCUUUCUUAUUUAUUCAUUUAUUACAGAUCUGAAACAGGCAAGCCACCAAUCACACAGCAACCUAUAACUACUCAGACAACUCUUGUGUUGGGGAAUCUCCCCACCUACAUUUGCGCUCACAAGGGAUCAAAAGGGAAUAUAAUCCCACAUAUUCCACCAUUUCCCUUUCCCCCUCCCUCUUUCUCUCCUUUCCCAUCACUCAAACUAAAUUACACCACCAAUCAAAUCCUAGCAUUUCAUGAUACACACAAUAAGAGAGAGAGAAAGAAAAGAAACCAACUUAGCUUUUCUCCUCCUCUCCCCUCUCUCUCUCUCUCUCUCUCUCUCUCUCUCUCUCUCUCUCAACAUCUUGGGUAUGUCACAAGUUAUGCUCAUCUCAAAAGGAAAUUGAAGGUUUUGUGUUUGUGUUUGAAAUGAACUCAAGUGUGAUCUUGUUUUUGCUGCUGCUGCUGCUGCUGCAGAGAGGAGGAUGGGCUCCGAGGACUCGUCGACCGCGGCGGGAAGCAGCGAGUUCGGCUUGAGGAAGCGGGGAGGCAAGAAGAGGAAGUGGGAGCUGGUCGAGUUCGACGCGUUGCCGGAUUAUUUGAAGGACAAUGAGUUCAUUGUAGGGCACUACAGAUGCGAGUGGCCUCUCAAGGAGACCAUCCUCAGCAUCUUCUCCAUCCACAAUGAGACCCUCAAUGUUUGGUCGUACGUAACGCAAUUUCCUCUCCUCUUAAUUCAAUCACUAACAUUUCUUCUUUCGUAUUCUCCGCUUACGCUUACGGUCUGUUCGGUCUAAAUUAUGCGCAAAGUAUUUAUUACCAGUAAAGUUAACUUUUACGUGUUAUAACUAUUCUUGUUAUCAUGAUAAUUAUGUGGCUGUACUGUAAGGUAUAGUAUUAUUUAAUAAAAUAAUGUCUAUACAACACUAUUAGAAAGAAAAAAGAAAAAAAUCAUACAAGUAAAAUCCUCACUAGCUUCUUUCCGCGGCAGAAUCAGAAAUGUCAUAUCGCAAGUUUCGCUAGCGAGGCUCACAAUCUCAUAUUUACUAAUUUUGAACUUUUCUAUCAGCCAAACACUCUGCUCAUGUUGAAAACAAAAGCAGAAGCGUACGAUCAUAUUAACACGUCCUUAGACUAAGUUCUAUCAAAUCUAAUUAACACUUUCUCUUUCUUUUUGGGUGUUUAUAGGCAUCUAAUUGGGUUUCUCAUCUUUAUGAUCCUAACCAUAUUCACCACAAUGGUGACACCCAAAGAAGAGAGGAAUAUCCCUUCAAUGAGGCAGUGCAUGGGUUUGGUGGAGACCAACAUGACAGCAGAGGGGGAGGCAUGCAUCAUUGCCUGCCUGGUAUCUCCAAAUAUUCCAGCUAAUGAAAUUGAGGCCUCUCUGUCACCUCUGCACAGCUUGCAUCUCCCUGACAUUCUCACCAGCUACCUCCCCAGCAGAUUCUCCCAUGCCAACCUCAGCAACAACCCUUAUUUUCCGGUAUCUUUCUUAAAACAUAUAUAUAUAUAUAUAUAUAUCUCUGUGCUAUAUAUCCUUCCUUUUUUUUAAAUUCUAAAAGUACACUUUAAUUUUUGUUCACUAUCAUUUAUUUUAAUAGUUUUAUUUUUCUUUUACCGAAAGAAAGAACGUAUUUUCAAGUAGUAUAACAAAGUGGUUUAUCUUACAAACCAAUUAAAGCGCAUGAUUUGUAUUCCGCUACCAUGUAAUUCAUAAAAUAUAUUAUCAACGGUAAGCUCUUAUGCCCAGAUAAAGAGAAAAAUAUUGUUAAAUAAUGAAAUACAAUAACUUGUUAAUUAAAGUAUUUGAUUACAACUUACAAUUAGUCAAAUCUAGGAAAUCCUACAUGCAUGGAAAGGGAUUGAUCAACCAACCUAAUAAAAGUUUAAGGAUUGGUGGGAGAGAUAAUAGAAAAGCUAAAUGUGAUUCAAGAACACAAAUGGGAUCUAAUUUGAUAAAAAACACUAACAGAGUAGGAUGGUAAUUGAGAAAGGUGAAAAAGAGUUUUUUUUUUUAAAAAAAAAAUUAAUGUUUGGAUGGAUGUGGACCACUAAUUGUUGGGUAUAUUACUGUCCUAUUGAAUCGAAAUGGUAAAUUGCACGGAUUGUCUCCGGAAUUUAGAAGAACUUUUACUUUAACCAUUAUUCUCCUAUUAGUGCACAACCAACUCAUGGUACAAACUUUUUUUUUUACUUAUGGCCAAAAAAAAAAAAGGAUAACAAAAUAGUUUAUAUGUUUUUCCGUAAUAAACAUAUCACAUUUUCCUCAACAAAAAAAAAAAAAAAAAAAAAACAUAUCAUAUGGUGUAGAUCCUAAUGAUUCAGAUAUGAUAUAAUUUAUUCAGUUGCACCGAAAAAUUACCAAAGUAUAUCAAAGAGAGAUAGAAUGCUACUCUUUUCAUUCAUUUUCUUUAUAAAUGAACUUAAUUGAAAAAAUAAAGUAAUUAAGCUUUGAACUUAGAACCUCGGGUCUCAAGUAUCAAGUCCUUUUGCCAGCUAUAUUAGGGAAUAUCAGUCUUAGUAGGAAAUUUGUUGCAUAACCUUCUUGUACAUUCGUCUAUGAGCCGCUUAAACGCUAAAUUGUCACUAUUUUUUUUUUUGGUUUAAAGCAUGAUUUUAAGAUGGAAACAAAUCAUUUGGCAUCAAGUUUACUAUCCAAAAAUACUUUUAGUAAUUAGAUAUAGAUAAAUUUGUUAUGGUUAAAGUAUGGUGAGCUUUUGAGCAAGUUGACAGAAUAGAUAAAGAGUGGAGUCUUUGUAAAUAGAGUGGAAUAAGAAUGAAAAUUUUCAAUCUAACAUAUCUUAUCUAGCGUAUUUGGAUAAAAUUUUGACAGUUGAUAUUCGAGGUUCUAAAUUCGAAAUCUAGUUAAUUAUCUCAAAUUUCUAAUAAAUUUAUUUUUAAAAAUAAAAAAAAUAAAAUAAAUAGUUUACUAAUUAUUUCUUAAACAAAAUCAACAUAGUGAGAUGGUGAACCGAAAAGAAAAAAAAAAAGGAAAACUUCAAAUAUCACUCUUGUAGUUUCACACUUUCUCACUUUAGUACCAUAUGGUUUAAAAUGUAUCAAUUUGGUGGCCUGUGGUUUUAUUUUUAUUUUUUUAUUAUCNAAACCACCAAAAUUCCUACCUGUUUCAUAUUAAUCACAACAAGAUGAUCUUAUAACAUAACCACAAUCAGAUGACCUAACCACAAAGCACAAAGGGCAAUAAACUCAUCAUCGGAUUAGAAGAGAAGGAAAAAUCCCAAAGCAAUUAAGAAAUCAACAUUCAAAUAAGAAACAUCAUAAGAUCUAUUUUUCUUGAUAGGAUGGGUAUGAAAAUUGACCCAUUCCUUUGAUCGUACAACUUUACCCAAAAAGUACUUUUUAACUUUUUAUCGCAUAUUAAUUCCUUUAACAGGACAAGUAAAGGACAAAAACUAACUAACAAUUCACAUUAACCUCACAACUAAAUCGGAAGCUACAUAUUAAACCAUUGUCAUUCGAUUAUUUGUUUAACUAAAAGUUCCUAAGAAGAUGUCAAUUUUUACUACUUUGGCCAUUUUUUAUCAAAUCAAAAUUUAUCCACUCGCUCAUCUAUUCAUUCUUUUUAAACAGUCUGCACCUGAAGUCGAAGUCGCCGAUACGCUCUCACUUUCUGUGACCACCUCCGCCACCGCCACGACGGCGCCGAUCACGCGGUGGCCGAUUCUUGCAUUCCUCUGCGGCGCCAUGUUCUGCCUCCUCACCAGCAGCAUCUGCCAUCUGAUCCUUUGCCACUCCGAGCAGAUGGCCUGCUUCAUGCUCCGCCUCGACUACGCAGGCAUCACCGUCCUCAUCGUCACGUCUUUCUAUCCUUUAGUCUUCUACUCCUUCCUCUGCGACCCCUUCUACUGCGCUCUCUACACGGGCUUCAUCACCGCCUUCGGCACCGCCGCUUUCGUGGCCUCCCUCAUCCCCGUUUUCCAGACUCCCCAGUUUCGGCCAAUCCGAGCCGCACUCUUCGCCGCCAUGGGCGUCUCCGGCAUCGUUCCCAUCGUGCACAAGCUCAUCGUGUUCCACGACCGGCCCGAAGCGGUCGUCUCUACCGGGUACUAUAUAGUACAGCAACAACCGAUUCCUCUAAAAGCUUAAACCACUAUAUGUAAUAUUUUAAGUCAACUUUAGUAAAAUCAUAAUUUUUUAUGGAAUAAAAACUUUAGUGCCAAACAUUUUUUAAGUCAACACAGUAUCCACACAUUUCACCUUGUUUUUUUUGUUCACAUUCCCCGUACCGGGGUGACACAAUUCAUUUCUCGAGAAGCUCGAGCGACUGACAAAAAAUAUUUUAAUAUUUAUAUUCAACAGAUAUGAAGUUCUCAUGGGGGCGUUUUACGCGGCGGGCGUGGUCGUGUACGCGGCGCGCGUGCCGGAGCGGUGGCUCCCCGGAGGGUUCGACCUGGUCGGGCACAGCCACCAAUUGUUUCACUUGCUGGUAAUUGCAGGGGCGUACACACACUAUCUCGGAGGAUUAGUUUAUCUCAAAUGGAGGGACGUGGAAAAGUGCUUAUAAUUAUAACAAUAAUAAUAAGCACAAUAAUAAUCAGAACAAUAAUUAGAAGAGAUUAAUUAGGAGUGAUUUUUGGGGAAGCAAUUCUUUUUGUGUAUGAGUUGGGGGUUAAUCCAGGAUCUCCAACUUGUGCAUAAGCCAUUUAGAGCGAUAGUAGAUUUUAUACACUUUUUAAGAUUGUUUAGAGAAGGAAACAAGAGAAAGAACAGAUGUAUGCAUGCAUUAUGUAUAAUGAGAGGAUCGCAGUUGAUUUGUUGAUUUGUUUGUACUAGUGUGAAAUACUACUUAUAUAUAAAUAAUUUGUGUGAUAUGCUGCUAUUAAGGGUAAGUACAUUUAUUAGAAAUAAGAAUCCUAGCCAGAGUAUAAUAUGUAGGAUUUUUUUAAAAAUUUAUGAGCUUUAAUUUUCAGAGUGGUCUCCCCACAAAGAUGCCUGAUCAUUGGCACCCACCAUUAAUCCCAAAAAUUCGAACUAUUAAAAAGAUACAACGGGUUCAUUUAAAGUGUUCAGGCACAGCGCCCACAAAGUCUCAAUUGUGACUCGCUCUAAUUAGUUUUACGCCACUUCGAACACGACUCAGCACGACUCGACCUACCGCCAUUUCAAAUAUAACUCAGCCCAAUCUGACCUUUCGUCCAUGUGUUCUAAUUUUUAAGAAAGAGGAAGAAGAACAAAAGGAAGACGGACCGGCCAGAUUGCGACUCAGCUUGAGUUGAGUUAAAAGGCCAAGUCAUUUUAGGCCUGGCCAUAUGGCCUUGGAGUUUGAACAUAAUGGGCCUUUAGUGGGCUUCAUCAACACUUUUAAUAUUCUAACUAAAUUUUGUUUUGGGCCUUGAAUUUUUAAUGUUGACACUAAAGAUUCUUAACCUUAAAAAAAAAAUUAUUAAGAGCAAACUAUUGCACUGACCGUCCCUAACACAAGUGGCAAAUGGCUUGAUGGUUAGUAUUCGAGAUCCCAAAUUCGAAUCCUAGUUGAUUCACAUUUCUAAGUAAGUUUAUUUCUAAAUGAAAUAAACAAAGCGGCUAACAUAAUACCUAUCUCUCAAAAAAAAUCGCAAACUAUUGCUCACACUCGGUGCAUAUGUAUAUUUGUAUCUACUAUAUAUUUAUCCACGACCAUUUAUUUUCAUUUACUAAUAAUAUUUUUACUAUCCAAAUAAAUUUAAUAAAGUACUUAGUUUUUAAAGUUAAAAUAUUAUUGACCGGCUAAAAUAAAACAAAUAAAAAAAGUAAGAUAGUAAAAUAAAAAUUUUAAAAAUUAAGUCGUUGAUUCAAAAUGGUCCACAGCUCGAAAUUUUUGUACCUUUUUUAUCAAUUGAAAAAAAAACAGCAAGUACUUUCAUGCUUCCUUCUCCUUUUCAAGGAAGACUACUGUGUGACAGUUACGCCACAUUAUUUAUAUCUAGUUAAUUAUAUGUCUUAUUUUGAAAAAAAAAAAAGUAUAAUAAAAAUAUUUUUUCUAAACAUUAUAAUGUUUUGGAUGAUACCCAGGAACUCAAUUUGAUUGAUUGAAAAUACCACAUCAAAUCAUCAACAAUAUGACCGGCACAUUUUAAACUUUUUCCUCCUUUCCUUCCGGUUUCUUUUUUCUUUUUUAUUUUUUAUUUUUUACAAAUGGUCUUGAAAAGUUAAUAUUUAGAGAAAUAGUCUGCUCUCUUACGCAUGAGCGCCAUGCUGGACAGGAGAGGAUAAUAUAGAAAUUUUUAAUUUAAAUACGAUAAUUCAGUCAUCAUGUUUAAACAAGGUAAUUGGAUAAUCGAGUUUCUUUUUAUAUUUUUCGCUUAUAGUAAAGGAAAAAAAAAUACUGUAAAAUUUAAGAAAGAACACGUUUAUUAAGUCAUCAUGUUUAAAUACAGUAACUGAAUCACCGUGUUUAAUUUAAUAUUACAUUUUUCUGUCCAAUGCGACACAUGCAUAGCAGAAAGAGAAUAAUUUAUACAAAAAUAAAUUUACUCGGAUUAUUUAUAAAUAACUAAAAAGAAAAGAAAAAAAAAACAUUUCUCCCGCCAUCUUCUCCGACUCACCGCGGAGAAAGGCCUACGCGUGGCUGCACGCCAGCCGUUCUUCACCGGUACAGCCAACGCUCCGCAGCCGUCCAAGCCAAAAUUAAUACGCUUCCGUCACGAAUCUUGGCGAGAUAAUCUCCCCGCGCCCACGCGUUCUCCGCUGCGGGUGCUCAAACGUCACCGCCGACGCGACUCCUUUCGUACAACCCCCCUCACUUUUUCUUAAUCCCGCUAAACUCACGUAAACACGACUAUAUUCAAUAUCCGAAUAGUAUAGGGACCAUCCGUAAAUUUUCCCCGCUCACUUUUUCUUCCUUUCUCUUUUUUUUCUCUCUGACACUCCCCGCGCACUCUUUUCCGCGCAACGACGACGACGACGCCACCACCCCCCACGCAGCUCCUCCGCUAAGCUCCCCAUGGCGCGUCCCCCGAAACCCCACUCCUCGUUCCUCUCCGACGCGCUCAUCUUCGCCUCGGGCGCCCUCCUCGCAAUCCUCCUCCUCCUCGGCCUCUCCUCCCUCCACCACCAACCCCCGCUCCUGCUCCUCACCCCCUCCUACGCGCACCCCGCGGCGCCCAAACCCCACCCCGACGACCCCUCCGAACCCACCUUCUACGACGACCCCUCCCUCUCCUACGCCAUCGACUCCCCCGUCGCCGACUGGGACGCGAAGCGCCGGCGCUGGCUCCUCCUCCACCCCUCCCUCUCCUCCUCCGGCGCCGGCGCCGGCGAGCGGGUCGUGAUGGUGUCGGGGUCGCAGCCGUCGCCGUGCCGCAACCCGGUCGGGGACCACCUCCUGCUCCGGCUCCUGAAGAACAAGGUCGACUACUGCCGCCUCCACGGCAUCGAGCUCCUCUACAACACGGCGCUGCUGCACCCCGCGAUGCCGACCUUCUGGGCGAAGAUCCCGCUCAUCCGCGCCGCCAUGCUGGCCCGCCCGGAGGCCGACUGGAUCUGGUGGGUCGACUCCGACGCCGCGGUCACCGACAUGGACUUCGCCCUCCCCCUCCGCCGCUACGCCGCCCACAACCUCGUCGUCCACGGCUGGCCCCACCUCGUCUACGACGAGCGCUCGUGGGUCAGCCUCAACGCCGGCGUCUUCCUCAUCCGCAACUGCCAGUGGUCGCUCGACUUCAUGGCCGAGUGGGCCGCCAUGGGCCCGCGCUCGCCCGACUACGAGAAAUGGGGGAUGACGCUCAAGCGCACGUUCCGGGACAAGGUGUUCAACGAGUCCGACGACCAGUCGGCGCUCGUCUACCUCCUCCUCACCCAAAAAGAAAAGUGGGGCCACAGGAUAUUUCUUGAGCACCAGUUCUACUUCGAAGGCUACUGGGUCGAGAUCGUCGGGCGAUUGGAUAACAUCUCAACAAGGUUUAUAUACAUACAUCUUACUCUAAUCCGCAUAACAAUAAUACUGAUUUGAAGUUGAAGUUGGAUUGAAUUUUAGCCUGUUAGAUGUGUAUAUAGUCAGAAAAUUAAUAUAAAUAAAUGUUAAUUUAAGGGUGUUUUUGGGCCUAGCUAAGAUGUGUGGAUUUAAUAAGGGUACAAAAUUAUUAGUAUUUUAGUUGUAAGGUAUUUGAUAUAAAAAUUUACAUAAAAAAAUUAUAAAAUUUAUUUGAACAGUAUAUAUUAUUUUAAAUUGAUUAUCUAGUAAUUUUAAAUUUUGAUUAUAUUAUUUAAUUAUUUAAUUUAUUUGAUUUGAAUAGGUCAACGUUAUUUUGAAUCUGUUAUUUAUUUUUACAAUUUAUUUUUACGAAUUUAGUUAAUAUUAUCGAACAGUUUUGAAAAUGUGAAUCAACUAGGAUUCGAACUUGAGUUUCGGAUACCAACCACCAAAUCCUUUGUUACUUGCUCUAGGAACAGUCGGUAUCGAACGAUGUUUUAAUAUUUUAUAUUUGGCAGGUACGAGGAGAUGGAGCGGCGGGGGCCGGCGGUGCUGCGCCGUCGCCAUGCGGAGGCUGUCGCCGCGGCCGUUCAUCACGCACUUCACCGGGUGCCAGCCGUGCAGCGGCGACCACAACAAGCUGUACUCCGGCGAGAACUGCUACGAGGGCAUGCGCCGCGCCCUCACCUUCGCCGACGACCAGGUCCUCCGCAACUACGGCUUCCGCCACGCCGGCCCCCUCAGCGACGACGUUCGGCCCCUCCCCUUCAAUUACCCGGCCACCGCGGCCUAGCAGUAGCAAUAAGAGUUACUUGCACCAGCUGAUUUUAUCGGCCUUUACUCUUCUUUUUUUUUCAUUUUGAUCUCCAAUCUUCUUAUUUCUGUAUUAGAAUUAACGGUUUUUUGAAUAAUGGAUAGGAUAAGAGAUCAAAUUGUGAAAAAACUGGAAUAAAGGAUUAGGAUCAUUGGUGCAAUUUAACACUAGCUAGCUAAUUACGGUGGUGGAUUAGUUUAAAAGAAAUAUUUGUUUAAGAAAUAGAAACAGUAUGUGUUUAAUUAUAUAUAUGUUGAUGUGGUAGGAACCUGAAAUGAAAUGUUGCUUAGGAAUCUUUAAUAAAAAGAGUUGUUUUAUUUUUAGUGGCGUAAUCUUCGGAGGGAUAUAUGCGUUGCUUGUUUGUGUUGAAAAUAGAGCCCUUUUAUGUUUUCUGCAGCUUUAGUUGCGGAGACAUUGUUGUUCGCUGCACCGGGUUCUCCACGUCAGCAUGUGGAUCGCUAGUGGGUUGGUCUAACUCUCUGAGAUAAAGGUUUCUGUAUGAUGAAAUGAAAGGUUCACAUAGCACGUGGUUUUUCAUUUUUUUUAUUUUAGUAUUUUUAGUUUAAAGUGUAUUAAGUUAGUGUACUGUACUUUUUUUUUUUCUCAGUUUUUCUAUUAAUAUUUCGUUAAAUUAUAUAUAAAAAAUUUUAGAUACUUCACCUAAAUUUAUCGAAUAUUCACUUUAGUACCUUUUAGUUUUAAUUUUGUCACUGAUUUAACGAAAAAGUUAGUAAAAUCGAUAAUAAAAAGAUAAAAAUAAAAUUACAGAACACUAAAAUAAUACAUUUUAAAUCAUAAGUUAUUAAAGUGAGAAAGUGUGAAAUCACAGAUAAGAAUUUUAAUACUGCAGCAAGGAAUUGUGUCAGAAACUUAUUGAUACUGUACGACACGGUGCGUACCCGACCGUGCCGAUGCAUGCCGGUCACAAAAUAUU
rnacentral:lncRNA from 1 species